rnacentral:lncRNA from 1 species
AAAGAAUUUACAAUUGUUGCUAUUGGUGACAAAUCCAAAAUGUAAAUAGUGAGCCAUUCAAAAUAAGUUUAGAGAGAUUGAAAGACAACCGCCAAUAAUAUUGACACUAUUUUAGUUUAUAUAUAUAAUAGAAAGUAUAAAAUUGAGAGGGGGCUCGAGGUCAAAUUCUUUUAGCUCUCCAAAUCUUGGUAUCUUAAUACUUUUUAUUUCCUUUUCAAAGAAUUGAUUGAGAGAGCUUGAUUAAAAACAAAUUAUUCUAAUAAAAUAAAUUAAUUUUCUUACCUCUAAGUUAUAUAAGAUAAAAACGGAACUUUUGAAAUGAUAAGAGUUAUAAGUAGACAUUCUAUAUUUGUCACAUAUCACUAUUUUACAAGUCACAUCCACACAUAUACUUUUUAUCUUAUUAUUUUACUAGAAAAGUUGGCAAGAAUGACAAACAACAUAUAACUAAAAUCUUCAUUGAUAUUUUGUAUAAUCUACCAUAUAUUAUUUUUUUUCCACUAAAUUUUGAGAUGAUUUCAUCUUUUGAAAUAAUAACCAAUAUAAUUAUGCUCUUUUUUUCUUUUGAACCUAUAAAGCAUAGAAUCAAAAUUUUAAUAUGUUUUUUUCAAAACUUAGGUAUGGUUAUUUAACCUUAUGUUGUAAAAAGAGUUUCGUUGGAGUUCGUUUUAUUAAAAAAAUAAAAAUGUCCCGUUCGAAACUCAACCUUUUGAAUACUUAAAUAUGUUUGAUAUUUAAAAAAAAAAUGUUUCUCUUUUUACUAUUUUUUUUCCUUUUUAUCUUUUUUUAUAACUAAACCUUUAUAUUCUUACCUAAAUUCCAAAAAAGAAAAAGAAAAAAAAAAUUUAAAAACCAUUUUCUCUUAAGUUUUCAAAACUCAACUUAGUUUCUGAAAAUAUUCUCUAAAGAGUUAUAUAACAAAACAAAAAAGAAAUCAAAAGAUUGGAAGUCUAAUUUAUAAUUAAAAUUUACAAAACUUAAUUAAUUAUCUUAGGUCAAAGUUGUAGUUUUUUCUAUACGUUCAAAUGCUUUAUUAUUUUUUUUAAAGGAAAAUAUAAACCAUCAUGUUAACAAAAUAAUAAUAAUAAAAAAAAAAAAACUAAAAACCAAACAAUUAUCAUAACCUAUGUGGUGAUAUUGGUUUGGUUAUAUUUAAUGGUUUUUUGAAAGAGGCAGCCAAAUUUAUUUUUGAAGAAGUGAUGAGAAAGGCACAUGGGAGUUUGAAGCAAUAGUUGGGCCAUGAAAUUGACACAAAGCUUCCAACUGUUUCCACCUUUCAUUCAAACCCUAAAACCUUUCUUCACAAAAGUGGAGACCCAACGUUUAACCAAACUUCACCUUAUCCAAUCUUUUCUCCCCAUUUUAUAUUUAACUCAUUUUUUGAACUUAUCUUUUAUUUUACUUUAGAGCUAUUUUUUAUGCCUCCUAGAGAAAAAAAAAGUUCAUCAUCAUCAUCAUAUGUAAUACUAAAAUAUAUGAAAUUUCCAAUUUUUCAAAACACAGUUACCUAACACCACUUAGAUUAAGUUUAAGUACUAAACUUUAUAUAUAAGAACCUUAUCAAGUGUGGAACAAAAGGAAAAAGAACCUCAUCAAGUGGCUAACAUAUUUCAUUUUAUCCCUCUUUAGAUUAUUACUAUUAUUAUUUGGUUCUCUAAAACUGUUUUAGUUUUUUCACAUUUUUUUAAAUAUUUUAAAGAGAAGGUUUAAAUUUUUAGUUGAAUUUCAAGAAACAAGAAUCGUUACCUUUGGUAAUUGUUUUUUUGGUUCUUUAUUUUUGAAAAUAAACAUAUUCUCUCAAUUACAUUUUUAUGUUUUUUUUUUAUUUUUUAUCUUUCUUAAAUAUAAGUUUUGAAAUUCUAGAAACAAAUUUAAAAAACAAACAAGAUUAAACCAUAAUUUUAGUUUUCGAAAUUGAAUUCAUUUUUUAAAAUAUUGGUAAAAAAAAUAGAUAUACAAUAAGAAAAAAAAAUUAUGCUAUAUCAUUCUUUUAAAAAAAAUCAAAACUAAAAAGUAGAUAUCAAACUAAAGAAACUAAGAUAGGGAAAGUAGUACACUUUGUAAGCUUGAUUUUAAAAAAAAUUGAUACUCUAUACGUAAUUUUUUGUUUGUUCUUAGACUUUAAAAGUUAUCUCUAAGAAAAACUAAAGUUUUGAAAACUAAACAAAAUUUAUCUUAAAAUUUUUAUUAUCUUUUAUUAUUUUAACUCGACUAAAAAUUAAAACACAUUUAUUUGUAGAAGGAUGAAAAUCAAUAUAAAAUUUUAAGAAAAACAAUCUAUCAUGAAAUUAACAAUUACUAAAUAAAAAAAUCAUACAAAAAUUGACACAUAGAUAUACGUGGUUAAAACAAAUGUUUUCAAAAUACAAACAACAUCACUAGAUUAGAGAGUAUAUUAUAUUGUUCCUCUUAAAACUCUAGAGUCAAAAUCGUAAAUAAUGAUAUAUAAAUAAAUAUAUAUGUUGAAUACAAAAACUCAAGAGCUUUCGACAACAAGAACGCAACUUCAAAUCAUUUCAAUCUAAUAAUAGUUUUCACAUUUAUACAAGAAAAUAAGCCUCCUUUGAUUAGAAUUAAAGUGAAAAAGUUUUGGUCCUCAUCCCAUGCUCAAAACUUUGUUUAAUUCCAAUUUGGAAUUUGUAAAUUGAAACCAAAAUCAUUUUCGCUUUUACUUUUGUGCUUCAAUUCAUCUUCGCCUAAUUUAGUGACAAGUCACAAAUAUUAUAUCGACAUGUAUUAAAAUCACUUUUAUCGGGUUCAAAAUUAUUCUAAAAUAUAGUUUUGAAAUCCAUUUAGACUAAGGAAAAAAAGCUUUAAAAAAGAGUGAUUUUUAUUUAACACUUUCAAUAAAACACCUCUUAAAAUAAAAUUUAAAUAUGUUUUAAAAGUUGUUUUUGAGUGGUUUGAAAUUCUUAAAAAUCAAUUUUCAAAAUUAAACAUUGAAAGUAUUAUACCAAACACACCUUUAAUAAUUAAAAUUAAUUUUGGUUGAAACGUGUUAAAAUAAUGCCAAUAAUUCAAUUAAAUUUUAAAUAGGCAUGAUUUCUAUUGUUUAAAAAAGUUUAAAUACUAAUUUAGUUCUAUAUUUUCAAAGUAUGGUGUCAUAGUACAAAAUUUCAACUAUAGAUUUUAGAUUAUGUAUAUAGUGAGCUUUUAGAUAUCUUGUUAUAUGCUAAUUGAACUGUAUUUGUUUUUAACAAUUGAGAUAUUACCCAACCAAUCAGACUUAAAUCAAAUAUUCUUAUUUUAUUUUAUUUUGAAUAUUGAAAAGUACAAAAGAGAAGAAGAAAAAAAAAAGUCCACUUAUUAUUGAAUGGUGGGGUUGAAAUUGAAUAAAAAGAUAAUGAGGUAUGUUGACGUUUAUUAUUUUUGAUGAGUUGGCUAUGUUUUGUGUAAUAAUUAGUCCUUUUACUUGAUUAAGAUAGAACCUCAAAUGACCCUACUCAAUUUAAAUAACCUUACCCAACCUUUACUCUAUUUUUUAAUUCUAAUCAGACCUCUAAUUACCUCUUCAUGGGUCCUCAUCUUAAUUACAUAUGAAUGUUUGAAAAUUUAAAAAAGAAAAAAAACCAUUUUAUCAUCAAUUUUUGUUUUCUAUUUAACCACUCGAAAUCUUGAUAUUACAACUAUGAAACAUAUUAAAGUGGAGAUUUGAAUUGAACUAUAAAUGGGUGAGUUUGACAAAGAAUAUUUUCUAUAUAUUAUUUAUACUAUAUGUAAGAUAUAAUCGAACUUUACCUUGAAUUUUAAGUAAGUUGAAGUUGAGGUUAAUAUGUUUAGUGUUGAAAACAAACCAUAGAGUUAAGUCAAUUCUUAUCUAUUUCAACCAAUUAGAUUUUAGACUUUGACCACUUCCUUUUAAAUUUUGCAUAAAUCCAUCAUGACCAAUUUUAACUUCAAACAUUUAGUUAUACUUAAAGAAAUGCACAUUAAUUGCUAUUGAUUCAUACUCACUUCCAUGACUAAACUAACUAAAUUAAAACAUAAAUGUCUCGAUGUUACUACUUUUUUAAAAAUAUCUAAAUAUUUUUCAUUUAUAGUAAGGUAAUAUGCAAACAUUCAACAUCUUAAUUAAAGAUACGAGCAAAAGAAUAGAAAUCUGUAAUGAGAAUUGAAAGAACAAUAUGUAAUGAGAAUGAAAAGAAGUUGUUAUAUCUCAUGGAAGAGUUGUGUAAUACAGAAAGGGAAAAAAAUUGUGAUGAAAUAAUUUAAGGAUUUCAAAUUUUAUUUUCACUAAUCGAAAUUGGUUUAAGAAGAAGAAGAAGAAGAAAAAAAAAUGGUUCUAAAGAACAGAGAAGAAAUCAUUUAACUCUGGAACUGCAUGGAGAACUCAAAUAAGUUCCAUUAGAAGGAUGAAAUUUAAGCCCACAAUGAAGAUGACAUUCAUACUUCACAGAUCCAAGCAAUCCAACUCGCCAUUGAACUCUCGUAUUCCCUAUCAAAUCAAAUCGACUCAGAUCUGCCUUCAAAUCAGAAUCAACGCUCUCCAUUUGCUCUGGAUUCAGAGGAAUUGAAUUCGAAACAACAGCGUAAGGGAAUUUCAUUGAACUGUUCUUCCUCACUUCGAAUGGAUCCGCCACAAGUUGUGCGAUCUUGAUCCCUAAGAAAUGGAGGAAGAAACUCGAAUCCGAGAAACUGGCAUGAGCUUUCGCGUUAUCAUUCUUCGCUUCAAUGAUGAUCGUUAACUGAACUUCGAGGCGGCCGGCGAUGUCAAUUUGGAAGUUGUCGAGAUGAGCGUCGAGAAUGGAGAUGGUGGGAAUCCUAGGGUGGAUGACUAGGUAACCGAUGAAGACGACGAUGCCUCCGAUGAUGACGGCAAUUGAAACAACGGUGCAGAGUAAGGCAGCGAGCCAAACGAGGGGAUGAGUGUGGCGCUUUGCGUCGGAGAUUAGUUUGGGUGGCAUUGGGCGGGGGCGGUCCACAUCCGGCGGUGGAGAUUGAAAUAUUGUUUUGAAAAUUGAGAGUUAAUUUGAGUGGGCUUUUGAAUUGAGAUUUUUGGUUUGAAGAAUUACAAACUUGAAUUUGAAAGAGAUGGUUUUGGUAUCUCUACCUUUCCUGCUUCUAAAGCAUUAGAGUUAUGAACUCAAAAAAAAAAAAAGAAAAAAAGUUGAAUUUGAAAAUUGAAAAUUAAAAAAAUGAAGAAUGCUGUUGGGAUACCAGAAUUUAGAGAGAUGGUAUAAUUGAACUAAGAAUCUUUCUUAUUGGAAAGUAAAAUACCAAACUUGCACUCAUAAUUCCUUCCCAAUUGUUGGAAGCUUUGGAGGAACUAUUGAAGCCUUAGGAAGCUAUUCUAUUAUUGCACCCCUUCUGUUUUUCUUUUUUAAAGUUACAUUAGACUAAAUAAAUAUCAUUUUUAAAGGUUAGAGGAAUACUUGCUACUUCAUGUUAGGGGUGUAAAUUGGUUGCUUCGGCUUGGUUUUCAGGGCAGUUUUUCAUAGGGCUUUCGAACCAAUAACACUGUGUUUGCUUCUAAGUUAAGAAAGAAGACAAGAAGCAUCUCCUUAGGUUUUUGGUUCUAGCUAAGGUUUCUUAUCUCAUUCCAAUGUUUAGCUUACUAUUCAUUGAGAUUCUUCUUUCUCCACAUGAAAAUUGAAGGUAAAGAGUGACAUAUAAGAGAGAAUGGAUAUGUAUUCUGACUCGUCAGUCUUCUUUCUCAUUCUACUAUUAUCAUAGUUUGUGAAAUAAGGAAUCUUUGUUUUCAAAUAUAGUUAUUAUACUUGCUUCACACCUCACCCCAUUCUAAGAGGAACAAAUCGAAUUGUUGCUACUCAACCUUCUUUAGAGAAGGAGUCAUUCGAGGAAUAUGUUCCUCUAUCAUUUUCUUAGUUAUGGUAUUGAAAAGGAAUUGAGCUUCUAACAAUGCCGAUAUGAAAUGAGAUGAUUACUAGUUGGUACUUCUUUCUCUUUUGAUUUGGCCUUUAACCCGUUUUGUUGGGGUUCUAAAGAACAACUAUGAUUGGUUUAGUAAAUGUUCAAACCAACUUCAACCAAAUCGUUUGUCAAAUAAUUUUGGUGAGUUUAAUUCCCCAAAAAAAGUUUGAAAAAGCCCAUUUGAAUUUCUUUCAAACUGAUGUCAACUGAGUCCCUUCUUGUUUUCAAUCGACUACCUUCUGUUCGGUUCAGUCGACUCGGUUUUUCAAUUAUUAUGUUUUGAGGUAGCUACAAGUUUCUUUAUCUAGUUACCUACUUUCAAUAAAUAUUUUUAAAAGCCAAACUAAAAUUAAGAAACUAAAAUGGACAAAAUAGUUUUCAUGACUUGUUUAUUUUAUUUUUUUUUUAAAUUUAACUCAGAAUUAUACUGAAGUGUUUGUUUAAAAAUGUGAAAAUCACAUUAUGAUAUUCAGAUAAAAAUAAGUAUAAAUGUCAAAACUAUUAAAACUAAAGGCAAACCAGUUAUUGAAUUGCAUCCCAGUUUUUAAGAAUUAGUUUUGAAAUUUUAGAACACUAUUAGAAAGUAUAUGACAAAAUAAAAAUCCUAUAAGACUAAAAUUAAUGUCUCUAUAAACUCAAUUUUCAAAGACCAAAUGAUUGUGUAGUGAAGUUAUAAAAACUUUUAGACCAAAUACUUACGUGAGUAUCCUUCUAAUGAUUCUUAGAUACAAUAAAUAAUAAAAGCAUGCUACAUAUAUCUAUGUAUUGAUCAAUGAUGAUAAUGAAUUUUAUAUUUGAAUUAUGGCAGUGAUUCUCAAUGGUUAUUUGUUUUGAAUUUGAGUAUAGAAGGGAAAAUGAGGCAGCAAAAGGAAUUGUUCAUUCUUCCUCUUCUUUACUCAACAACAAUAGGUAUGUAUGGAGGUCUAGUGUCUUGCAAAUUUGAGUGUUAGAGAAAAAGGUACAAAUUAGACUUUCAAAUCACGUCGGUGAUGAUACAAAUACAAUUAAGAAAUGAUGAAAGUAAGAUUCUCUUUUUCUUUUUUUUUUUCAUUGUUAAGCCAUACAUAAUAUAAAAUAUGAUAAUUUUCAACCAUGUCUCUAAACGUAGAGAUAUCUUGAUGCCAAAUUUUGGAUUGAAAAUUGACUCUAAUAUCAAAGUUAGAGAUGGAGAACUCUCGAAUAGAAUGAUUGUUCAUUUUUUAUUUGACUCCAAUUUCUUUCUAACUUUUAAAUUUAUUUAAAACAAAUACUUCUCGAGGUAUAAAAAACUACCUAUAUAAAAUGUUCGAGAUUGUUCAUUUUUUAUUUGUCUCCAAUUUCUUUCUACCUUUGAAAUUUAUUUAAAACAAAUACUUGUCCAGGUAUAAAAAACUACCUUUAUAAAAUGAUUUUUAAUGAUAGAGAUUGACAUAGAAUAAAUAGAAACAAAAAUAUGUGUAAUAAUUUUUACACGUUAGUCAUCAGGUGAGCUUUCUUCUUUGAUUUUAAUGCAAAAAAGAUUUUAUUUUUCUUAGCAAAUUUUUAAUUGAAAGCUAUUUUGGAACUAAAUUCAAAAAACAAAAAGAAUAUUCGAAAAAACUUUCAAAAUCUUGAGUAUAAUACUAUAAUUGAUACUCUACCCUAAAGAUAUUUAGUAUAGUUUACAAUUUUUAAUCUCCUUUAACUUCAACUAAAUGGGGUUAAAUUGAAAUGAGUAAAAAUGUGAAAAUCAUAUGAAAUUCCCGAAAAAAUUAAUAAUAAUAAGAUGAUUUUUAUAAGAAAAAAUAACAUGAAAUUCAGUGACAAAUAAUGUACUUUUAAGUAGAAUUCAACACUUCUACAUAUUGUACAAUGUAUUUGUAAACUAGUAAUUUCAUUUCAUUCAUGAAGACAAAAUAAGAUAAAUUACAUACUUGAAAGUAUAGAAAACUAGCAAAUCUUUAGUAGCCCUACACAAAUCGUCCAACAAAUUCAGCCCAUUCUACUCGGACUGCAUCGAUUUCUUCUUGUUCAUAGGUAUGUAUUGUGUUAAACUGAAAAAAGGGAUAAACAUACCAUAAGAAUAAAUCAUAUAUAAAUCAUAACAUAAUGAUAAAUAAUAAUACGUACAAGAUCACUUAUGUGGGAAUUAGAGUUUUUCACUAGUUCUCGUAGAUACUUUUGCACAUAGUACCCACAUUCUAUAGAACCCAAAGGACGGGGGCACUGCGUGGAAAAAAAUAUUGAAAGAAAGAAAUGUACUUGAGUCAUACAAUUAUAAUGCAAGUUUAAUAUGGUAUAGAAAUCAAUCAAAGCAAACUAACCUUUAUAGGUUUCCAACGUAUACGAGAGCGAUAUUGUUUAGGAGAAUGUUCAAAUUGCCAAUGUUUCAACGACCUACACAGUUUGAGACAUUAGAAUAACAUAAUUGUAAAUGUCAACAACCAUGAGAGUUGAAAACACUUACUUAUUUAUGACUCCUUGAAAUUCUGGUAGAAUCUUAGUUCGUAGGGGGUCCAUGACAUAAACACAAUUUUCUCGAAGAUCGAUAACAAUCAAUAUCCAGUGACAAGUACUGGUAAUAAUCAACGUUAUAAUAUUAUCAUUUAUGAAACUUUAAUCAAGUAGAAACAAUUCAAACCGUCAUUACUUACCCAGUGUUAUAAGGGAUGAGCACUAGUUGAUCCAAGUUUGCCAUUUCUAACCUGCUGAUUAGAUUUCUAGAACGAUUUUCUUGAGAUUUUAUAUGCGACGAAAUGGUUGCUUGGUCAACUAGUACAAACCUUUUUGUUAUCUCAGAGUCGCAUGCAUUCCAAAGACACCUGUAAAAUAAAAUGUACUAUAAAACAUUAAUACAUAAACAAAUAUAGUCCAUGAAUCAAGAUGUGUAAAAAGGUUGAUAUACUUACGCAAUGUAUGUAAGUAUGCACGAAUAACCAAUUUCAGUCAUUCCACAAUAUUGUAUGAUGUCGUCAGGGCGUAAAUAAAUUGUUUUCUCCUUCCCAAAGAUAUGCUCAUUCAAAUUGAUUUGAAUCAUAUCCUUCACUUGCAUUGUGUGGAUCGCGUAUCUAUUUAGGAGCUUAAUGGUAACGUGGACAUCCGUAUAUUUGGAAGAUUGUGUAGUACUCUCAGUUGCAGCCAUAGAUGGAGCCUGCCACAACCAAAAUUGCACACUCAAAUUGCAAAAAGAUAAGGGAAAAAAAUUUGAAAAAAGGCGUACCUUUUUCUCCUGGGUCAAAAUUACAAGUUUGCGAGGCCAAGCCACAAAGUUACCAAUCGCUUGAUUUAAAGUCUCUAUUUCACCCUUUAGAGGAAUCGGUAGUGCAACAUCUUCAACCAUGAUAACAUCAACCGUCACUCUAAUAUUAUCAGCUCCUAGUGGAAUUCCAUGAAUGGUUGGACAUUGAACAUCAGACUCAAACAUUUUGCCUAUAGCAACAACAUUGUCAAGAGAUCCUAUAGCCAAAUGACACGGUAUUCCCUUCAAGAUUUUAAAAAGAAAAACACGAUUAAGGUCAUGUCCUAUAGUUAAGUUUCAAAAUCAAAACACACUUAGUACCUUCAAAAUAUUUUCAGGCUCUUGAAGAACCUGUACCUCCAAAAUUUCUUCAGGCUUUUUGACAACCAUUUUUCCUUUUGGAACCUUUUUUCCUUUCUGAACCUUCUUUUCUUUUGUCUUCUUCCUCAAGACACUACUUUGAGAUUGUCGAGUCUCAUUUUCUUCUUGAGAUUGUUGAGUCUCAUUUUCCGCUUGAGAUUGUUGAGUCUCAUUUUCGGGUUGAGAUUGUUGAGUCUCAUCUUCGUCUUGAGAUUGUUGACUCAAUUUCAAAUUUCCUCUGGCAACAUUGACAUGUAGGGCUGGUGAAACAAACUCACCCACUCCCCUUAUACGCCCUCUAUGUUCUGGCGUGCCUAGUGCUUCAGUCAAAAUAUCUUGUCCCUUACGUAUCGCAGCUAAUUCAUCCUAUAACAAAAAUUUUAGUUGGCCCAUCAUAUAUAUCACAUCACGUCUACGACACUUAAUUCAAGUACAUCAUUUGAACCUCAUCAAGUACAUCAUUUGAACCUCAUUAAAACAAAUAACAUAUAAUCUUACUAUUCGCUUAACACAUUCGCUAGUGGCAUCAUCAAAGCAUCCAUUAUUUUUCCUUUUCCGCGCUUCUUUCCAUAAAGUUGCUCGAUUGCAAGGAUCACUUGACAAUUCCUAUAUGAACAUACACAUCAUGCAAUUAGCAUAACCAUAUUGUCAUAAUACAUUUAAUUUAAUUAGCAAAACUUACCAAUUCCUGGGCAAGAUUUGCAUAUCCCUUACGAGAGAUGUGAUGAUUAUAUAUGCAUUUCGCCCUCCUUUCCCUUUGAGCAGAACUAAAUACCUAUAUAGUAAACCUUUGACUUUAAAUUACCAAAAAACUAUUCACAGUUUAGAAAUUAGAAUAUAACUACCUCCCACUCUUCACUUAGUCUUGCUUUAACAAAUGACUCCCAUUGUUUCUUAUCAAUAUGUGAAUAUUUUUCUGGAGGAUAUUGCAAGCGAGAUGGUUCGUCUUUAUAUGGAAGUAUGUACAUUUGAGUUAAUGUGGACUUAAAACUUCGAAACUUCUUUGAUGCAGAUUGAAGAAUAUAAUGUUUGGAACUGAGGUCCACCACGAACGACAUCUGGGUAGUAAAAAUCUCAAAAUAAUUAGAAAUCGAGUAAACUACACAAGUUCGUUACCUUAAUGUUGUAAAAUUCUUACUUGUAUACAAUCAAAAAUUGUAUCUUUAAGUUCCUGUGGAACUUCUUUCCAACUAUUGUAAGUCAGUGGGAUUUGUUGUCUAACACACACACCAAUGAAACUUUGCAUUUUCUUUGCAUUUUCUCCAACAGGUUGACCUCGAUCAUUAUAUUCAAUUGUUUUGCGUUCGCCAGAAUUUCUUAUGUGUAACAACUCGGGCAUAAUGGUUGGGCCACGUCGAGCAGUCUUCUUAACCUUAUAACGAAUAAGAACAUUUCCCUCAUCUUGACUGCUGCUACACGAGUCAUCCAUAGUAUGAAUCUGCAAGAAAAGUGCAAAAUAUACUAUUAUAAGAUGUACCCUCACAGUCAUGUCUAGGUCCUUGAGAAAGAAGAUGAAAAACUGAACAAUUGAAGCGUUCAUUAUCCACUCAAGUUCAUGAUGUUGGGACAAAAGUCGACAGCAUGAUACAGAUUCUAGUAUCAAAAGAUAUUCGAACAAAGAUACAAAGACGCAAUAGGUAUUAGAUAUAAUCCUUAGUUAUUAAGAAAUCACAACUUAACCUAAGUACGUAACUUCAUAUAACGGCAUCAGCAUCAUAUAUCCUAACUUCCUACAAACACAACGUACUCAUUACAUACUUUAGAUAUCCACAGCAUACUGAAGAUGGCAUCACUUACCCUAGCUUAAAAAUACAACACCUGCAAAUAAGCGAGGACUAGAAACGAUAGAUACAAUAAGAAUAAGAUAAUUCAAAGUUUUGGGUGGGGAUUAAAACUACUCACAUAUACAGCAAUAAGCUAAAGAUUUCGAUAAACGAGGAACCAAAUAAGUAAUGAAAACAACAAAUUGAGACUUCCUGACAUUCUUAGGAAGCCUUGUAAACAGACCGACCCAUUAUUAAAUAUUAACAUGCUGAUCAACAAGUUAAACAUUAACACUAAUGAACAUGCUUCCUUUUCUCUAAAUUAAAGUCUUAAAAGAACCUUAAUUAACUUACUACUACAUAGGUACAUGUCAAUUUCACAUGGUAAUUUUUUUUCUAGCAUGAUAAAAUCACACAAUCAAACUUGAAGAAUAAUAAGCGAAAAAAAUACAACAAUCAAAUUUUCAUAACAAGUAAAUUCAUGUCAGACCAAUCUUAGCAUAAAGCUUUUGACAAAUCUAGGAAAUGGCAGCCAUGAACAGCUACUACAUGUGGGAGGCGGAGAACAAAGCAGCAAAAAAACUACACCACAAAUUAUCAACACAGUGAACAAAACCCACAAACAACAAAGAAUGGCGGCAAUCCACGUUGCACUAAAGAGGAGCCCACAAAAAACGACAGUAAGUGGUGAUAGAUCUAGACAACGUAGAAAAACCCGCAGAAUAAACCCACUGCACAUCUACAACGAUGACAAAUAUGAAUACAAUCACACUGGUUAACAACAAAUACACACGAAUGGCGGUAAUCAUUUACCCACAAAGAAAAGAAAAAGAUAGAAUGCCACAGAGGAAAGAGGUGAGAAAAGACAGUGAAAAUGCGAAGGAAAAAAACAUUAUGGAAUAGAUCACAUAAUCAAGGCCAAUGACCGACAUUAUUGACCGACAUUGUAGCUUGAAUUUUUUGCAUUUUGAAGUUUCCAAAUGUUUUCCCAUGUCCGUCAUUGUAUCUCUUCUAAACAACCACCAAAGGUCAGGUUUGUUGUAGUACACACUGAGGUAAGACAAGAUCACUUGAUCAAAAGGGAUUGACAAAGGAAAGAAUUAGAAACCUUUAGAAUGACCUGGACUCCAAAUAUGAACAUAGUUUCUACUCAUAUACAACAAAACUCAAUUAUUCAUAAAAAAUAAUUAGAUACCACAAAAGGUUAAAACUUAAGAAAAUAAGGUAUACUACUAAUUUUACACGCACAAAUAUUCUUUUACACAGAUUUGAAGAUAACAAAGAGCCAAUUGCAAGGUCGUGGUCUUCACCAUUGAACCGUCUCUGAUUCCAAGGUUAAGGUCAAAGUCACUCUCUUCCUCAUGAUAAGGGCUGAACCUUGAAGAGAGUAAUAUCAAACCUUCAACCUUAAAGAAAGCCAUAGAUAUCUUAACUAUUUAAGGAUGUAAUAUAAUGCAUGAGAAUGUUAAACUUAGUAGAAGCAAUAAAGUAAAGAGACACCGAGUUACGUGGAAACCUUAGUACUGGGAGAAAAACCACGAUUUACUUUUCUUAUUAAUUUCUCAUAAUCACAAAUGAUACAAGAGGGAAAUAAAUAGAAUACAAUAUGGGACAGAAAAGGAAAGAAUAGUAGGUCAAAUGUCCCUUUGGGCCAAGCCCAUUAAAUCUAACACUCCCCUCAAGUUGGGACAUAGACAUCAAUGAGACCCAACUUGCUAACAAAAAAGUCAAAAUUCUGUCUAAGAAGCCCCUUAGAGAGAACAUCAGCAACUUGUUGGCUUGAAGAAUGUACAAAAUGCACACACUUCCAUUGUUUAGCUUUUCUUUGAUGAAGCAUCAAUCAAUCUCAACAUGUUUAGUUCUAUCAAGUUGAACUAGAUUGUUGGUGAUAAUGGCUGCCUUGUUAUCACAGAAUAAUUUCAUUGGUAUCUCAACAUCCUGAUGAAGGUCGGACAACAAUUUCUAGAGCCAAAUUUCCUCACAUAUCCCCAAACUCAUACCCUAUACUCGGCCUCAGCACUGUUCCUGGCUACGACUCCUUGCUUCUUACUCCUCCAAGCUACAAGAUUGCCCCAUACAAAGGUACAAUAAUCGGAGGUAGAUUUUCUGUCAUCCACAAACCUGCCCAAUCAAAAUCAGUAUAGGCCUCAAUAGUUUUCCUGUCUGUCUUUCUGAACAUCAAUCCUUUACUAGGAGUCGUUUUCAAGUAUCUCAGGAUUUUGUUGAUGGCCUUCAUGUGUUCCUUAUAGAGAGCCUUUAUGACCUGGCUCACAACACUCACAUUGGUCUAACAUGGAACAAGUAAAUCAACUUACCUACAAGGCGCUAAUAUUGUUCUUUUAUCAACUGGAGCUUUAUCACCUGAAUUUCCCAAUUUACAGUUGAAUUCAAUAGGGGUGUCAGCAGAAAAACACCCUAGCAUACUUGUUCCAAUUAGCCAAUCAAGGAUAUACUACCUCUGAGAUACAGACAUACCUUCUUUAGAUCUGGUUAUUUCCAUUCCAAGUAAAUAUUUCAGAUUUCCCACGUCCUUGAUUUCAAAUUCAUCAUCUAUCCUUAGUUUCAGUUGGAUAAUUUCAGCAUGAUCAUCUCCAGAUAAAAUGAUGUAAUCAACAUAAACAAGGAACACUGCAAUCUUCCCAGCCUUGGAGAUCUUUGUAAACAAAGUAUGGUCAGAGUGCAGCAAAUAGCAGGAUUCUAACUGUAUUCCGUUUAGCAACGGGGGAAAAAGUUUUUGAAUAAUGAACACCAUAGUUUGAGUAAACCCUUUUGCAACUAACCUCGCCUUGUGUAUGUUAAGGGUUCCAUCUGUUUUAUAUUUGAGAGUGAACACCCAUUUGCAUCCCACAAUUUUAUGUUACUUGGGUAGAGCGCAAGACACUCUAAAGCAAUGUGGAUAUUUUUCGAUAGCAUUGUAGAGUCAAGGCUGGCUAUGAAGGCUUUGAACUGUAAAGAGAGAUUAUCAUAGAAAACAUAGUUACAAAUAGGGUAUUUUGUGCAAGACCCGAUACCUUUUCUCAGCGCAACGAGGAUAUCCAAAGAAGGAUCAUUUUCAUCAAGGUUCCCUGAAUGAUCCCAUUAAGCCUCAUUGCCAACAGUUUCUACUCUGACCUCAGUCUCACCACCAAUGUCCUUUUCUUUCACAUUUCUAGGAACAACAACAUCAGAUGUGUCAUUCUCACUCAUUUUACUUUCAACACAUGAUUCGAGUCUUGGACUAGAGUCGACUAAUCAGUAGGGGACUCAAUUUGCUUUCUGAGAUUUCUCCAAUAGUAUGUUUUCCAGGAGACUUAGCUUGUAGGUAGGACUAUGAGAUGAGCAUCAGAAUCAGAUAAGGUACUAGGAGUAGGUUCGAUAAACUCUAAUGUACAGUUAGACUCUUCACUCACACUCUCCCCAUUAAGGAGGGAAGGGGUAUAUGUCCAAGUAUACGACCUCAAACAACAUCAAACCUGAGGUUAAGUCCUGCAAGGAAGUCAUAAAUACGAUCAUCUUCUUCAAGUCUAGCAUAUUGUAUACCGGAGUAUCCCAUACUAUUUCUCUGCACAAGUCCAUCUCUUGCCAGAGAAGAGAAAGCUUACUGAAGUAGGAGGUUAUAUCUGGUGUUCCUUGCUUGCAGUCAUGGACUUGUUUCCUCAGCGUAUACAACUGAGAAGCGUUCUGACGCUUUGAAUGGAGUUUCUGAGUCGUGACCCAUAGAUCCUUUUCAGUAGUUGCAUAAAGUGGAGACGGCCUAUAUGUGGUUCCAUACUAUUAAUCAGAAUAGACCGAAUAAAGGAGUCCUCUCCUUUCCAGAAGCGUUGCAAGGCAUUACUUGGUGGAGGACGGACAAUCUUCCUUGUCAAAAAGCCAAAUUGUGCCAACCCUCGAGAAACAUCUUGAUCGAUUGGGACUAGGAAAAAUAAUUUUGGUCAUUCAGCUUCUCCUCUGGAAAAGUCCCUGUAGAUGGUGCUAGAGAACCAAUUAUAUAAUUUGAGGACAAGUUAGGGAGUGAAGUUACCGAGUUCCUGGAAUACAUCGGAAAAUUGGUCGAUUUGGAUUGCGCCAAGGAUUCACCAACUUCAAAUCCAAAUAUGUUAUACCCUCGAUUGAUCCCGAAACUAUGAAUGUGCAGCUAGUCAAAAGGGUAUUGAGAUUGGACUUGGGAUGACAAAUGAGAGAAAAUUGGCUGGUUUAUGGAGGUGUUCGACGACGGCGCGUAAGGGUAAGAUGGAGUGCAUGCAGCUGGUUUCUGGUGUUGUGCUGUGCAGCUGACUCCGAAGAUUGUGAUUGCCAGGGUCUUUUGAAGCUGGUGGACUAGCUUCUCUAUGACGGCCUCUAUCUCUAUCUGGGUUUCACCUAUACCGGUGUCUAGGAUUUCGUCUUUAGCUCGCUCUGAUACCAUAUUAGAUUCGAUAAAGUAAAGAGACACCAAGUUACGUGGAAACCCAAGUACUGGGAGAAAAACUACGUUUUAAUUUUCUUAUUAAUUUCUCAUAAUCACAAAAAUACAAGGGGGUAAAUAAAUAGAAUACAGUGUGGGAUAAAAAAGGAAAGAAUAUUAGGUCAAAUCUCCCUUUGGGCCAAGCCACUAAAUAUAACAAAACUCAUCAACAAGGAUAAGUAAGUCCACAUGCAAUAGACGUGGCCUUUUAGUUCUACAAUGUAUUGAUCUUACUUGACUAAAUAUCCUGGGAAGAAGAGUUCAGCAAUUAAGGAUGAAGAUGGGAGUUAAAUUAGAAAGCUUAGUAACUUGAAAAAUAUACAUAUGUAUCAAAUGUAAUAUAUGUGGUUUUUGGCUAAAUGAUGGAACAGUCAAUUAAAAAACUGUUUGAACUACAUCAUCCUUUCAAGAAUUUAACCCGAGAUAAAAAUUCUUUUGAAAUUUAAAGUAGUUAGUUUACAAAUUCCCUUCAAACUUGUAAUUUAGCUUCAUUCAUUUUCAGUUUUCACAUACAUCUAUCUACAACCCUAUUGAAAUAGCCUACCCUUGUUGAAUAUAAUUGACCAAAUUGCCGACUCUAAGUUACCUUACUCCCCUCCCCUACAACAUUUGGGGCCAAGAAUAUUAAUCCUAGGUAGGUGGCCUCUAUGGGUUAAACUUUGAACCCAUUUCUUAAUCCUUAUAAGUCUUCUAUUAUACCCACGGACCUUAUUGACCAGAAGGUCAACCUGAUGAUUACGUCUAAACUUUUUUUUAUACAACUCUGUCCAAGUUCUGUUCAAGUUGUUCUCAAUUAAAACCAAACAGGUAGCUCUCUUUCCAAGCAACUGAAAAAAGCCUCUUGAAAGAAAAAUUUGAACUACCAACACAAAAGCAACAAGCAAUCCCAUCCGAAAAGGCACCUAAGCUCCCAAUUCCUCUUCAGUCACGUUGAAGCUAACCAUUCCUGCGUUUUAAAUUCUUCCUCCUAAUAACAACCCAACCUGCCAUGGGAAAACACCGUUUUGGCUAUGCCUUAAGCCUCUCCAUCGUUGUCUCACUAGCACUCAUUGCCUUUGUCUCGUGUGUAGCUGCAGAAUUGCACAGAACAAAGGUACAGACUCAAAAGUUUCAUUGUUAAAUAAGAUUUUGGUUUUUGACUAACAAUCCACUGUUUUUGGUAGACGAAAGACCUCAAGUUGGAUGGGAAGUUGUGCUAUUUGCCUGAAAGUCAAGCAUUUGGAUAUGGGGUUGCAGCUUUGGCCUGUUUGGUUAUGGCUCAAGUUAUUGGGAAUAUUUUACUUUGCACGAGUUGCAGUAUCAAUUCAAGAGAGAAGAAGAGAAGUGAACAACCUCCUAAAAGACCAAAUUUAGCCACAUUUUUUCUUGUUGUUUCAUGGUAGGUGUGAUUUUAUUUCUCUCGUUUUAACUCAUUCAUCAACCAUUAAGAAUUCUUCCAAAUCACCAGUCAUAGGCAUGAGCUCAUCAUCUGAUCUCAUUCAUCUUCAAAUGAAAUUUAAUUUGAUAACAUUUCGUUCUUGAUUGAGAACCUUCGAAGAGAUUCAUAAGAUUUCCAGAGAAAAUAAGAAUCAAUAUAUAAUUGAACUGUGAAUGAGAGUGGAUUUGAUGUUCUAGGGCAAGCUUUACCGUGGUGAUAUUGCUACUGAGCACGGCGUCGAGUAUGAGCAGACAGCAGCCGUACGCGACGGGAUGGUUGGGCGGAGAGUGCUACUUGGUGAAAAGCGGUGUAUACGUCGCCGCAGCAAUUCUAAUCCUCAUCUCGAUAUGCUCAACUGUAGGCUCCGCCGUAACAGUUCGAAUCAACGAAUCCAGAAAAUCUACCACACUUCCAAAAUGAAAAGGAAUAAAAAGCUGAAAGAGUAGAGAAAAAUAAAGGCGUCGCAACGGCAAUGGCAGGGGCAACGGCGGCGAUCGGUAGCCUGCAGCAGAAAGGUCCGGGUUGGUAUGUUCCUGCGAUGGUGCCUCGCUGGAAGGGCUCUUGCCCGAGUUCACAUUUUUUAUUCGGUGAAAAUAACACUUCAAAAUUACUUUGGUGUCCCCAAAAUUUAAGAAAAUUAACCCUUUUAGGUAGAAAAUAAAUUUGAAAACUAGUUUUUCAAUUAAGGUUGCUUUUCAUGGUACGUUUUUUAUUCUAAUUUAAUUUUUUUUAAGUAUAAAUCGAGGUUUUGAUAUUUGAACCUUAACUUUUCCAUCCUUUAAUACAUAUGUAUAGAUGAGUUAAUGAAUAUUUUUAUAGGAAGAAAUUUUAAUUUUCUUUUCUCCUUUUGAUAAUUAUAUAAUUUCAUAUUAAAAUAAUCUUAUUCUAUCUAAGAAUGUUAUGCAAAAAAAAAAAAAAGAGAUUUUAUCCCAACGUAAAUGAAAGUAUUGUAAAUAAAAAAAAAAAUCUUUAAUGAUAGAGAAAUAUAUUUUCACUAAAUAAAAACAUCAUUUUAUCCAAUUCUAAGUCACCUAUAAACAAAUUUUAAAAAAUGUUCAUUUUAUCUAAGUCAAAUUGGGGUAAGAAUUCUCUUUAAAAAUAAUAUUUUUGUAAAAUAAUCUAAAAUUUCAUUUUAAAAUCUUGAUAAAAUAAUAAGGAAUAAGAUUGUAAUUUAAAGUAAUUUGAAAAGAUUAUAAUUUAGCUUGCAGUAAGCUUAUUGGAUUCUUAAUUAUAAUUUUUUAUUUCAUUAAAUAUUAACGUUCAAAUACAACGACAAAAUGAUUACAUAAUAUAGUUUAUAAACUAAAUUGUAACAAAAUUGAAUGUACAUGAACUACAAAUCAAAGUUCACAAAUAACAUUGUUGUUUAGUAAUCAAUAGUCAUUUUUAACCAACAAAAUUUAUAUGGGUGGAUGCGAGUUAGGUUGAGAGAUUGUUUUGGCCAAACUUGAAAAACUCGUCUUCGACUCAAUCCAUUCUUUAAUUUUAGGUGAGACUAUGUUCGGUUGUUGGAUUGAUAUUUUUUUAUUACUUAAAAUACUUAAAUUAACUCCAACAAAUGAUUGUAAUUAAAUCCUCGUUAUACUCGAAUGUUAGAUAUACCAAAUAUUCAUGAUAUAUAGUACAAACUUCAAAUAAAAGCAAGCAUCUUAUGAUUCUAAAAUAAAAUACUAAUAAUAUGUGUGUAUUCAUGUGUAUUGAGUAAUUCAAGUUGGAUUGGAUUUACGUGGAAAAAUUUAAUAAACCUGAGACCCAAUCAUUGUAGUUUGGUUUGAGUAGUGUAGGCUUUUCGAGUUGUUGGAUCAUUUCAACACCUCUAAACCAUAUAUUUGAUGUUCAUUUCAUUUUAGUCUAUAUUUUUUUAAAUAUAUAAUAUUUUAUCUUUAAAGUCUCAUUCAAUAGCUAUUCAAUCUUUUAGCUAUUUUAAAUAGGGAAGCAACCAAACAUCUUACUCGAUUGAAUUACAACUAAUUAGGGAGGUAGCAAUGUCACAUUUAGGUACUAUGUUCAAUUUUGGACAUGAGCCAUAUGGGCAUGUUUGCAUUGACAUAGGAGAGUACGUAAAGGCUUUUAAAGAAAAGUCCGUUUUUAUUUAAAACUAUUUAGAGAUUGCUUUCUUUUUCUUUCUUUAUUUCUUUUCAAAAACUAUUUUGAGAAACAUUUUAUUUUUUACUAAGAUAAUUUAUCUUGAAAGUUAAAAACUUACAAGAAUUAAUGAAGGCAAACAUAUUAAAUAUUCUCCUUUUGGCAAAAUUCCUGAAUUUGUAUGAUACUAUGAAGUAGCAUGUGAAAAUAAUUGCAAGAAGGAAACAAUUUUUAUACCAACAUUUAAAGAGAAAAAUAUGUAUAAUAUAGAAAAAUCGUAAACUUUACCGCACGUUUUUUAUUUACUCGUGCUAUUUGGAUGCUUGAAAUAUUGUCAUUAUCCUUUCUUAAACAUUCCAUCAUCUGUUCUACGUUUUUUCAUAAACCUACAUCAUAAAUCCUACUUUUGAAAUAGAUCAAUGGAUUAGAAACUUAUACAUAAAUAAUAGAAUUAUUCACAAGAAUACAGGAAUGAAAUUGAAAGUUUGGAUGGAUAACACUAUUAUACUUUUAUUCUAAGAUCUCAAUUUUUGUUCAACAUUCUAAUAAACUUUUACUAUGGUUUUGGAACGAUAAUGAUAGAUCAAGAGUAAUAUUGUAACUUUUGACGAAAGAACGAAGCUUUUUUUUUUUAAAAAAAAAGAGGAAUUCAUAUAUAGAAUUUGUAAUGAAUAACAAAAUAUAAGUUAUGAUUGAGAGUUCAGAGUGAGUUUGGUAUUGUGAUAUUGACGUGACUUUUGUUUUUAGAGUGAGAUAUUUAGUUUCAAUAAUGCAAUUGUUGUUGUAGUGAGAAGAAGAAAAGUGUUGUGAAUAGAGAGAGGAGAUUGAAACACUAUAAAAUCAAGAUCAAUUGAUUUUGCGAUUUAUGUGUUUUGAUUGUUUUUAUAGACAAACUUCCCUUUGCUAAGUUUUGACAUUGUUUGAGGCAGUGAAAAUAAUAUGCAAAACUUUUCAAUUAUGUUUUGCUGUAGUUGGCUCUUAGCUUUAGCAGUCCAUUGAAGUGGGAAGAAGAAGAAAAGUCAUUGAAGAUCAAUUGGCUAUUUUGGAAAUGGUAUCUUUGGUCUUACACUACUUAUUGAAGAACUUGAGCAUGGAUGCCUGCUUAGUUAAUUGGAGUGGAGGUUGCUUAAGUUGCUCGGAAAUAAUAUUGAAAUCAAGUUUAGUAACACUUUCUGCCAUUUUUAAAAAAUAUAUUUGCUAAUGCGUUACCCAACAAUCUAUAUGUAAUUUUAUAUUUACAUUUUCCCUAUGUUUAUACCACACCAAACACAAUAAGUCUACAUAUGUCUUAUACAUGUUUGACAUUUUUUAAUAUAAGAGACUAUUGAUAUUGAAUUGAAAAUAUGAAAUAAAAUAAAUGAAAUCUUAACGUCGAAAUUAAUAAAUAAUAAAAACAAAAUUAUGUCAGUAAGAAAAAGAAUUUAAUAUUUCAAAUUUUUUGAAAUGAUUGUGAAAAUAUCUAAAGAAAUAAUUCCCAAUAUUUACGAAAUAUAUUGUGUAUAAAAGAUUUAUGAUAUAAAAAUCUCUAUAAAAAAUUAAAAAACUCAACUCUCUCUCUAUAUAAAAGAGAACUAUUAUUCUUAUUUAUGGAUUGGUUUGGUUGGGUUGGUCUAAAUAUCCCUAAACCGAACCAACCCAGCCGACAAACACCCUGCGGACCGGAUACACCUCUUUAUGGUUAAUUUUUCAAAUAUUUCAAAUGUUGUAACAUCAACCCUUAACUUCUGAAAUAUUACAUAAUUGCCACCAGGCUUAAGUUUCAACUCUCCAGAAAUCUCCCGCUAACUACUUCAGAAUUUUCGGACUUCAAUUUCUUUGUCAGCUUGCCGUUCCUCUAUUCGUCGCCGCCAAUCGACGGCACUGACGGGGCUCAACUCACCAACUCGUUUCACUUACAGCCGCUUUCGAAUUUCUUCUUCCCGUCGUUGUUCCGCCAUUUUUAUCAAGUUUAAUGUCAGCGCAGAUUUUAGCAAGAUAGGGUUGGGAAUCGUAGUGUACAAAAAUUUUGAAUAUGGGGGAGAAGCACGAGCUUGAUGCUCCGGUGAGCUCCAGACAGAUCGAUCUGAAGAAGUCCUUCAAGCUUGCUGUUCGUCCUCUCCUUACUUCCUGUUCCAGGGAGGUAAGCACGAAAUGAGAAUCUGCUAUGUGUAUAAUGUCUUGGAAAUGGUGUGGAAUUGGUACUUAGAAAUUCGAAUCUGCAUUCUGAGUGGGAAUUUGGUCAUGAUGUAUACUUUUUUAGGUUACUUCUAUAAGAUGCUAAAAUUUGUGUAGUGUUUUUUUGUUUCAAAAUUUAGGAGUUUCGGGAAUGCUUUUCGAGAUUUACGACUGCAGAGCAAGAUUAUCUUCAUCGUCUUUUCAUUCAGGUACUACUGUUCUGCUUUUGUAUGUUUUCUCUCAUUCUCACUGGGAGGCUGAGGUGAAAACGAAUUAGCAUCAUAUGGACAAAUUGGAGAUAUUGAGUUUCUUUCAGUACAAUUCUAGGACGUUUUCUUGUCUCCAUCCUUCUUAAAUUUGUUGCAUGCAGAUCCUAUACUGUCUUCAAUGGUUAGCAGCAUGUAAUUUGCUGCACAUCAUUUUUGAAUUUGCAUUGUUCUUAUUGCUUCUAGUCUCCUUGAUGAUGCAAUAAUGAAUUUUGGUGUUCAUCAAACUUGCAGGUUAUAACUUCUCUUCAUGGAAACAUAGAGGUAUAUUACUCAAGGUUUUUCUUCAUAGUCCAUCCUGAUAAUUGCAUUUUGGGAUUUUCUCAAUAGUGACGUGUGAUUAUGUUUUUUUUAAAAAUCCUUUUUCUCAACGAGGCACGUAAUGAGAUAAUGCUUAUUUUAUGCUUAGGCUUCCUGAUCUUCUACUUGGAUUACUUUUCUUAUUACCCAAUCAUCAUGUCACAGAAUAAUCAUCAUUAAGCCCAUUAGAUUGUCUUCUCCAAUUAUAUAUUAACUUUUAGCUUGGAAGUUUUCAUCUAGUGUUUUCACAAUGUAAGGUCCAGUUUAAGUUGACAAGCUCGCUGCUUGUCUGAUGACGGGGGCACAUUACUGGCCAUAUUGGACUAUAACUAGACACAUAGUUUAGAAUAGAAAUAAUAUAUAUUGUAAAUAGAAGAUUCCUGUACAUGCGAACAAUAAAUUUUAUUGCUUCUGUUCCUAAGAGUUGAGAAAUGGGAAAAGAGAAAAUAAUAUGAAAAAAUUGUUUUUGAUUUUCUUUCGGUAUAGUGCACUUUGCCUUGUCAGUAGGGGCAAAAUCUAAAAAGCAAUCCACCAGGUGCUUGUCAUAGACUACUAGUGCAGUCUCUGUCGCCCAUUGCUGCAGUGGGCAAUCUCUUAAAGCUUGUCUCAAAAUAAAUUCACAAUAAAAUUCUCUAUUUUUACGUUGUGUGGUCAUCAAUAGCAUUUGAUUUUAAUUCUCUUUUUACGUAUAGCAAUUUCUGGUCAAUAACAGUACCUUUAUCUGAAAUGUACAGGACGAGUUUGAGUCAUUAUGUGUUGAAACACAGGUAAUGCUCUUGUUUCUGUCAACUUAUUAUGCCCAGGUUUGUCUUCUUACUUCUUUUUUUAGUAUGUGCGUACACAUUCGUAUUUUAAGGUAUGGGCAUGACCCCUUGGAUAAGUUCAAUAUGAGUACAGGGGACCUUCAUUGUAACUAUUGAUAUAGCAGUUUUGAAAAACUUAACUUAGUUUGGAUGUGUCGGUUGUCAGAUGUCUGAGUUCAAAGGGGUGAUGGCAGGCUUCAAUUAAAGCAGAUAGAAAAACAUGAGUGAUCAGUAAGAAAUAGUGAAAAUUGGUGAAUUGGCAGCAUGAUAGGAACUGCGGCAUUCUAUAAUGUUUCAUGCUAUGCUAUGCAAUGAUUAUCUACAUUCUAAACUUCCGACUUUGUGUUACACGUACUUUGUAGUAGAUAAUUUUAAUAUGUUGAGAUUUGUUUAUUUGAAAAGCCCAACAAGUGGAAAUUGAUUUUAAUUGGGGAGGAAACGACAAUGCAGCAGCUUGAACACAUGACCACCUGCUCUGAUACCAUAUUGAAAGGAGAGACAACGAGCACACACCAAUUUACGUGGAAACCCGAGUACCGGGAGAAAAACCACGAUUGUUUGUUGUUAUUAUUUUCUAAUGAAUAAAACAAUAGGUACAAGGGAGAAUAAAUAGAGUAAUAAAACAAUAGGUACAAGGGAGAAUAAAUAGAGUAAUAAAACAAUAGGUACAAGGGAGAAUAAAUAGAGUAUACAAUGGAAUAAAAAAGGAAAAGAUUUAGGAAAAUAAGGAAAACAUUCCCAUAAUCUUUCCAUAAUUAUUCUAGGAUUCUUAACAAGGAAAAUAUCUAGAAAAAGGAAAGAAUUCCAACAGUUUGAAGUGGUGAUGUAUUGCUAGCCAUUUGUGUCUAUAUGCAGGUAACCUUCCCACUACCAUUGUGUCACUAUUUUCCUUGCAUUCUAACAGUUUUGCUUUAUCCAGGUGGGACUUGUAUUUGAUAAUGUUGAACAACUUUUGGAAGAGCAAGAUCUAGACCCAUUGUAUUCAAAGAAGUAGGUAUCUUCUGCUGCAGGGUUAUUUUCUUGAUCAAAUUUGGUGUUGUAAUUAGAUACAGGUUCAAAAGACACUUCUAAUCCUUUAACUUAUAUGGAAGCAACAAUUUUGUCCCUGAAUUUUACUUAGUAACAAUCUGGCCUGCACUUUCAAUUUUGAAACAAUUUAGUUCUCUAACUUUGAUAUGUCACAAUUUAGUCUUUGCACUUCAAAAUUUAUACAAUAACAAAUCUCAUCAAAUUUGAGUCCCAAUUUUUUCUUAUAUAAGGCUUAUUCUUGGCAGGUUAUGAAUAUACUUGGUUCCUAAUCAGUUAAUAUAUCUGCAUAUGAAAAAAUGUGAUUAAGUCUCAGUAAUUUUACAAAUGGGACCAAAAUAUGAUAAAUUUUAAAUACAUAGACUAAAUUGGUACAAAUUUUAAAUUACGGGCCCAUGUAGUGAAAAACUAAAGUUCAGCAAAGUUAAGGGACAGUCUUUUUGAAUCCUAAAUUUAUAGUAUUGAUGAAGAAUCUAAACAUCGUUUAAUGGGAUGGGAAGGGGCUUACACAGCAGGCUUCCGUAGGUUUUACAGAUUGAAUUUCUCUGGUGGAGUUAACAAAUGACAGCCUCUAAUGCAGGACCAAUAUAGUGGAAAUAUAUAAUUUUCUGUCCAUGACAAAGAAGGAGGAGAUCCAACACUUGAAGGACAUGCUAAAAACGGUGAGCAACACUUGUAAUUGUAACGCUUCUAAAUAAAACCAACUUAACUGAAUUUUUCUUCAUUGAUAAAUCUACCUAAUGGUAUUGUUUCCCUUUCCACGUCAAAACAAUAGUUUUAUGUUCAAUGGCCUAUUAUUUUCUAUGAUAUGAAUUUGAUACGAACCAGUAGGCAUUUAUGUUGUUUCUGUCACUAAGCAUGUAUCCUAACUAUUAGGUAAAAUGACUUAAUAAUGCAUUUGCUCUAGUGCACAUGUAGGCUCAGGCUUUGUUAAAGCAUAAUGCGUGAACUGCAAUAUAUUUGACCAAAGUGAACUUAGUUUAACGAUAAUUGGCAUGACAUUCCUCUCUAAAGGUUGAAGGUUCGAUCUCCCAUUCUCACAAUUGUUGUGUUAAAACAAAAUUGUAAUAUAUUUGAACACUCUUUCUUUUAGCUUGUAUUUUUUUACAUAAAUUGUAAUAUAUGUGCUGCCUUUUUCUGUAUGGCCUGAGCCAAUGGUUUAUGUGUGGAUUUACAAAGAUUUAUUAAUUAACUCAUCCACUAAAGUUCUCUUUUUACGUAAUUAUUUCUUAACAAAUAAAGUUGGGAAAUUUUCUUAUGAUUGCAAUUUUCCGUAGGCUGAGGAACAGAACUGGGUUAUUCAAGGCCGUAUUGAUGAUUUAAGGAAAGGAGUGCAAGAUGCCUCUGGCAUGGCAGAUGCUGUUAAAAAGGUGCCUUUUGUAUUUGGGGAUCUUUUCCCACCUCUUUCAAAUGGAUAAAUAAUUUGAAAAUGGUUGAUAAAGUAAAACAUGGCUGACUAAAGCGAACUUAUAUGGUUGGUUAGAUUAUUUUGAUCCGUCUAAAUAAAAUGUGUUGUACAAUUACAAUCUGCUUUGGGAAUUGCUUUUAUUAUGAAUUUUAAAGAGUAAUUAAGUAAAAAUCUUAACUGCUUUGAAUGUUUGAUAAGAUUUAUUGUGAGUGAAUUCACACAUUCAUUCUCACAGUUAACAAAAUUUAUUUCCUACACUCGCUUCUAAAAGUAAAUUUUUGCGUAGAAUCAACAAGUAUUUCCCAACAAUUUUUAGAUUCUCUACCAAACAUACUCUAAGGAAAUAAAACUCAAAGGCCUAGUUUCCAACCUUAACAGCUAACUGACUUGUAAACGCUUGCAGCUAAGAAACUAAUGCAGAUCUUAUGGAACUGAUGGUGUUAAUGAGACCUUCGAUAUACUUAACUGAUGCUGUUAAAUAGCAAGGUCAGUAUGUAAUUUAGUAGAUUAUACUUGGGUAGUUAUGUGUGUCAAUUUCCUCAGCUUAGCUCAAGCUUUAUAUUUACUUCUUAUUUCAUGUUUGCAAUUAUACAUGUUUUCUUCUGACUAAUGCAUACAAUCUAUCUUGUUGUAUCAAAGAAUUGUUCAAUGCCCCAUCAAGAAUUAGCUAUGUCGUUGGAACUCUAUAUUGCCCUUGUUUCUUUCUCCACUCUCUCUAGGGACAUUUUUUGUAGGCUUUAUCAUCCUCUUUGCAAUGAAGAUUGUAAUCACAAUGCAGUGGCAUCUAUCAAGCACAAACACUCUAUUUUAGGUAGAGUGCCUGACACGUAAGUGUGCAUGUCCUAUUUUUAUUUAAGAUAAUUGCAAUGAGUAUCAUUUUUAAUAAUUAAGUGCAUACGAACAUUUUAAAAAAAUUGCAACUUUAGUAAUGGACUCAAUCGUGGAUAGACUUUGAAAGUGCAUCUAGUUUUGGGUUUGAUUGUAAACUUGCAACUCUGGUACAAAUCCAUUUUUUAAACCAAGGAUAUAACAUAAACAUAAAAGACUGAAGUUUGAAUCCAAAACGUUUCAUCUCUUAUGAUUGAUAGUUAACUUGCAUUCCAUGCUUUUUUUAUGGAGGGGUAUAUUAAAAUACAUAUAUCUUAAAUAGAUAAUAACAGAAAAUAAAAUAAUGUAUCCCAACAUCUUAAGAUGUUUAUUUAUUUAUAAUUAGCGUAUAGGGGUGUGUUGUCCAGAUUCGUGUCCAUGCUUCUUUAGAAUGCCACAUGUAAAGAUUGGAUUUAGGUCUACUCAUGAUCCUUUGAAAUUUUAUGGAAAAUGUUUCUCUAAAUACAACCCAAGGAGGAAAAUAUAUUUUUUCUUUAUGCAAACAUUCCAAAGAUUGGAUAUUAUAUAUAUCCAAAGGUAGUGAUCGACUUUUUUAGGCAUGGUAAAACGGCAUGUUUGCCCACGAAAUGGUUUCUCUCAAUUAAAUUAAAUUAAGUGAUUGACAUUUGAAUUUUUCUAAAUUCAUGUUAUUUGUCACUAUUAGAUUGUAAUUUAGCAUGAUAAGUACAACCACGGUGUCAAAUUCAUUGAACUUAAAUUCAUUUAUUAUUGUUUGUUGGUAGAUUUGAGUCUCUUUUGAUUGAUGGUAUAUGCUAAUCAAUUAAGUUAUAUUUGUUGAGAUGUUGAAAAUCUCACAUUAGGAGAUUUACAUCUAUAGGUGCACUAUCUUUGUUGCAAAUUAGUUUUGAGAUAGAAUUCAAUAUUAUCAUAUUUGGUAUUAGAGUCUAUCAAGUUUAAAUGGGUAUUCGGUCUAAGAUUCACCUUGGAAAAUUGUUUUAUAUAAUAAAAAAAUUUAUUUAAAUGGUAAAUGUAAGUGAAGUAUAAAGAAUUGAAAAAAUAAGUGGAUUUUGACUAUAAACUUGUUAGCCUGUAGCAAUUUUGGAUUGCAACUACCAAUUUCAUCACAUGUGACUCCAAAAUAGUCAAAUAAGCAUCGUAGUAUUUUGGUUAAUUCCAUUUUGGUUAAUUUGCUCAAUAUUUUUAAACGGAAAUAAUAUAAUCAUACUAUAAUAAAGAUUAAUUCAAAACAAGUUUGAUGAAUGCACGAAUCAACCAGACAAAUAACUUUCCCAAUAUUCAUAAAUUUCUAUACAAUCGUAAAAUUUUAAAGCUUCUAAUUGUUGGAAAAUGAGCAUAGCACAAUCUAUAAUAGACAUGAAUAUUUGUUGUGCUUAAAAAAUGUUACAAAAUCAAUUAAUUUCAAGUUGUUAUCUCAUAUACCAAUAGUAAAAUAAGGGGUUGUUUGGAGGGUGGAUUGUGAUGUAAAAAAAAGGUUGGAUUGAAAACUAAAAUUGUCCCAAUGAUAUGAGUUUAGUCUCAAUUCAAUUACAAUAUUUUUUUAUUUUAUUACAUUUCAAAGACAUUUUAUUAUAGUUACCAAACAAUGGGUUGAUAGUUAUUAUAGCAUUUAAUUUGAUUCUUGAUGAUGAUUAUCAAUUAAACCAAGGGUACACUUUAUUCUAAACACGUCAAACUCAAAAGUGAGCAAAGUUUAUAUGGCAAUUGACGUCAAUUUAACAUCAAUCUAAGGGAUAAGAAUUGACAAUACAAGAAAAUAAACAACUGUCAAGUGUCAUGUAUAAAUAUGAUAGAAAUUUGUUUAAAAAAGGUAAAAUAUUUAUUUCUCAGUAAUUAAAAUACUUUUUAGAUAUUUUUAUUGACAUUGACAUUCUUUCCACAUUUCUAUUAACAUUCUUGUAAAAAUAGGACUUCAACAUUUCUCUCGACAUCGUCAUUGAGUGAGCCUUGUGUAUUUGUUUAUAGCAUUUAAGGACAGUGAGAAAGGGAGAACCAAAUAACAUUUGGAUCAAUAAACAAUAUGAUUAGAGUAUAGUUAGUUGAUUAAAUUAGAAAUUGAAUUAUUAAAGUGUGAUGUAAUAAUUAAUGUAUAAUUGAAUGAGGAAGCUAAGUUUGAAAUUGAUGACAAAUAAUGAUUCAAUGCAACAAAAUGUCAAAAACAAAAACUUGCCAUUGAAGAUGACCAGACAAUCGUAGAAGAUUUCAUAGAAGGAAGCUCCAUUACGAUAAUACAAAUUAAAAGUCAAAUUUAUAGUUGAUUGGUCAUCACUUCCAAAUCUACAAAAUUAAAAAACAAAAAUCAAUCCUGUUUUUGGGUGAAUGAGUUGUACAUAUAUAAGUCUUCUUAUGACUUUUUUUAGGGAAAAAAUUAUUAAUUGAAGUGAAAUCAAAGCAGUGGAUUCUGUAAGAGAGUUGUUUUUAUAUUUUACUUAAACACGUUUCAAUAGUUGUGAUUUGAUAUAGCCAAUCAAUUAAUUACUUUAUUCACUAAGUUAAUUGAAACAAAAUGUUAAAAAUAGUUUAAAUAAAGCUCAUAAAUGUAUAAAAUGUUGGUAUUCAUAGAAAUGCCAGCUUCAAAUUUACAAAAGUAUUUAUAUUGAUGUUGAAAUUUAGAUAACUUACCCGUCAUAGAUAUAUGUUUUUAAGAUAACAAUGACCUAAAGUAUGAUUAUUAGAGGCCAUUACCUAUUGGGUAAAUAUAAAUGAAAUAUUACCAAAUAAAAAAAAAAGGAGAGUUAAUGUAGUUUGAGGAAAUGAAAAAUUAAAAACCCAAAUAGUAAAGAUUGAAGAAAUUGGACAAGUUGUGGACAACUUGAUUUAAAAUUGUUUAUAUAUAUAGAUAUGUAUGUAUGGAUUGAAAUGGAAAUAAUAACAAUAAUAAUAAAGAAAGAAGCAUGCAAUCUUUUAUUGUAUUGAUAUGAGAGAUGGAAGCCACGAAUCAAAGCCAAACCAUUUUCACUUCCUCCCGUGGCGCCAUGUGUCACCCUUACUAUUUGUUUAUCAUAUUUCGCUUACUCUCUCCCACUAUCUUACCUUAACUUUACAGCUACUAAAUUAUAUCAUAUCAUUUUCUCUUCUCUUCUUUCUUUUUUAUUCAUUUUAUGUUACUCAAUUAAGUUCUAAGGAAAGGUAUAAAACACCAUUAUUAUUUGGAACAACAUUUAUGGUUUAAGGUAUGUUAUUCGAACUAACUAAAGUUUAUGUUGAAAAUCAUAUAGUCUAGAGAUUAUCUACAAAUUGAUUGUGAAUCAUGAAAAUAAAAUUAGCAUUUACCACCUUCACUACCUUUUAUUUGAAAAAAUAUGAUGUGAAACAUUAUAAGCACAUCAUUAAACUUUCACACUUUUCAUAAGAGAAUCAAGUUUGAGUCUCAAUCAAAAUUUUCUUCGAGAAUCAACUAAUUUAAUCUUCACUUUUCUAAAAUUUACGUACAUUCGAAGAAGUCUACACGAUAUAAAAAUAAUUAUAAAAAAUAAUAAAAAGUAUCUAAAUAGAUCGGUUUAUAAAAAUUUAAGAAUUUAAUUGAUACAAAUUUAUAAGUUUCAAACUAUUUAUAUUUUGUCAAAUCAAAUCGGAACGAAGUGUAACCUUAAUAAUAAUUAUAAAAAAAACCUUAAAAUUAUAAAUUAUGUUUUUAAUAUAUAUGUAUAAAUGAUUUGAAGUAUUUAAAACGAGGAAAUUAAAGAAAAUUGUAUUGAAUUUUAUGUCAAAGUGAAACUACAAACUUAUGUCAAAAAUGUAUAUGCUAAAUUGACGAGUUUAUAAUUAAUCAAGAGAAGAAAAAUGAAGAAUGUAAAGAGACUAAAUGGUAAUUAAACUUUAUAUAUUUAUUUAUAAUAUGAAAAAUGUAAUUGGUAUCUCAAUAUUUAAAAAUAAAAAAUUAUUGAAGGGAUUGGGAAACAAAGUCAACGAAAGCAGCUAGCAAAGGGUUAGUAAAGUAGUUUGCACAAAAGUCCCAAACCCUUUAAUCCCCAACACAUGAUGGGGAUGGAAAAUUGCUCCCAUUCACAGCAAUUUUAAAUAUCUUUCCUUUACUAAAAUCCGAUUAAUAUAUGUUUUAUUGAUGUGUCUGAUACCAUAUUACAAUAUUUAAAACGAUAAGAGUUAGAUAUCGAAUAUAAUCUUCGUCACUAAAAGAAGAAUAUAUCAUGUCAAUUAUGAUUGAGUUAUAGUCGACAAGUAACAUUUUCAAGGUUUGACUUGUAAUUGUUGUAUACAAUUCAAGUACCAUGUAGACUUUCUUUUACAAAAGCAUGUUAAUUAAUUCAAUGGUGUUUCUUCAAAAGAGAUUUUGAUCUAGUUAUUGUUUGAUGUUAGUUUUUCCAACAUAACAGGAAGGGUAUGGACCAUCUCUCUUUCUGGACUGCAAUUUUCCAGUCUCCUUUGGUCCCGACUAGUUAAUCACUACAGUUGCGAUGGGGCAAAAUGAAGAAAAGCUUUGCAUGUAUGUAGAGUCAAAAUCUCAACUCUUAGAAGAAGAAUUAUUAUCUUCAACUCAUCUAUUGCUAUUAUGUGGACUUUUUGGUGUGAGAAGAUACUCACAACCAUCCCCACAAAUUAAUUAUGAGAAGAUACAUGUAACAUAUUUUGGGCUUUCCUCUAGUCUUUUUGUAAUGAUUUGUUCCUUGUAUUCUAUGAUCAAUAUAUUUCAUAAAUUAGAAUAUUAUGAAAGUGUUAGGUAAUUUGUGUAAACCUAGUAGGUUGGGUUAAUCCAAUGCAUCUAUUGACACACACUUUGUAUCUUUUUUCAAAAACUGUGGAACCCCUCCCUAACAUUACAACCACUCCAACUUUUUUCUAGUUUUAAUAUUUGAACUUUUACUUAUCCAAUUUAAUAUUUUUACCAUAUUCGAAUUUUCUGUAGAGUGCAAGAAAUUAACAUGAUUUAGCAUUUUUUUCCUUUUAUUUAUCUUAAAUAAACGCAAAUUCAAAUAUAAAACUAAUAUAAAUUUUGGAUUCAGAGAUAUUUGAGAUAUUUGCAUUUGAAUACUCAAUAAUUAGACCAAACAUAAGGCAAGUCACGUGGCCCUUUUCCAUUGGAAAUACAGAAGAAUCUAUUUUAGUAUAACAUUCAUUUUUGAAUAAAUAUAAUAGUCAUUACAAAGUCAAACCUGAGAGAAAGAGAGAAUUUAAAUUCCCUAAUAUAUAUAUAUAUAUAUGUAUAAAUACAUAAUAACUAAAUUAAAAAUUGUUGUAUGUGAAAUAUUCAAAAGGGUUUUAUAGGGUUAGAUGAGAUGAGUUAUUUGCAACCUUUGAAGUCAACACGUCAUCGUCAUGUUUGGCUGUCUUCUUCAUUAUUCCACUCAUUAAUACUAUAUAUAUAUUAACCAAAUAUUCACUGCAUCAACCAACCCCUUCUUUCCAUUCUUCCUUUUCAACUUUUUUUUCUCUACUUAAUAUCAUUUCUAAUCUUUUCUCUUCUUUUUAUUUUAACCACACACUAUAUAUCAAUUUUUUUAACCUAUAUAAACACACACAUAUAGUAAGUUAAACGUAGAUCUUUGGAUAUUUAUUGGUUGAGUAGAAUUCUAGAAGGUUUAACUAAUGGAAUAAAACAUUUAAAAGAAGAUGAGAAUAAUAUAAGAAAAUACAUCAAAUAAAUACAAAUGCAAGUUGAAUCAAGUUCAAAUGAAUUCACUUGUAUAUAUAUAGUUUUAAAAAGUCGUUAAGACUCGAUUUAUGAAUCAACCUCUUUAUAGAUUAUGUGAAUAGAAAAAGAUGGAAGAAGUUGAGGUUACCAUGUCCCACUGGGUAUUUGAAAAUUAAGGUCAUGAAGGGUAUAUAUAAUAAAUAAGUCAAACUCACAAAAGAACAAGGAAAGGAAAAAAAAAAAAAAAAAAACUCAUAAUUGAAUGACUAUGGAUAUCUAAAUAUUCAAAAGGAAAAUAGGAACAAUGGAUACUACAUAUGUCAUUACCAAGUCGUAAAACAAACUUUUAUUAUGAUAUUUAUUAGCCUUGCGGCAUUUUUAUGGUUACAGAAGAAAAAAAAAAUGGUAUGUAAAAGUAAAUACAUCAAUCAUUCCUUGAGGACUUUUCCUCUUCAUCUCAUGAAAAUUUGUAAGCUUUAAAAAAAGAAAGAAUAAACCUCAAAAAGAUUAGAACCGUUGAUAUAUAUUUUCUUUUUAUGGAGAUAUUGUUGUGGGUGAAUUGGGGUUUUAAAGUAUAUCCAAAUCUAUAACUAAUAAUGACUCUCUUGUGAGUCAGAAACUGUCCCCUUUUGCCCAAAAUUCAAGGUGCCUUUUCCUCUUUUCCUCUUAACAAAAAACACAGAGCAUUUCCACUGUUUUUCUCUUUUCUUUUUCUCUCAUUUUAAUCACUCAUUUUCCUCUUCCUCUUCUUCUUCUUCUUCUUUUUUUAAUUUAGAAACUCAAAAUCUUGGAAAAUUCUUGUUUUUUUUUGGGGGGGUUUAUUUCUGUCCUUUUGUAUUUACUUCUUGAGAGAGAUUCUAAUUGGAAGGCCAUUGAGAGGAAGUGCAAAAGGACCAUAUUGAAUCCCUUCUUGUUCACCAACUACAUUCCACCUACAUUAAUUUCAAGUUCAAGAAAACAAAUUAAUCACUAUAAUUAAUAUAAAAAUAUGUAUGUAUGUAUAUAUAUAUAUAUUGUUUCAAUGGUAAAAAAGAAAUGAAGGUACCUAAAUUUAGUGGUUAAAUGAUGGAGUAGAACCAACAUUUCCAGCUUGGCUAAUUCAUUUCCUGGACAAGAGUGGGUCCCAUUGCCAAAUGGCAUGUAUGUAUUGGGUUUCUGAGAAACCUGUUCCAAUCAUAUCAAAACAAUCAUUGAAUUUUUGGCCUUACCAAAAUUGUAUACAAUAUGGGAAAUUUCUUUUUUAUAUAUUAAAUAAUAAAGUCCAACAAUUUCCAUCAGAAUCAUUUGUUUGUGUUUUCUAAAUGAAGUAACUAAAAGCAAUAAUUAAUAUAUAUUGUCCUUUUUUUUCUUUUUUUACCUCAAAUCUUGAUGGAUCAAAUUUUUCAGGUUGAGGGAAAAUUUCUGGGCUGUGAUGAAUGUUUCUGAAUAAAGGCAAAACUUUCCAUCCUUUUGGAAUUAAAUAUCCUGCAAAUUAAGAAAUUUAGAAGGAAAAAAGGUUAAGUAAAGAAAAGGGUUUUUAAUUUGGUUCAUAAUUUAAAUUUAACUUUUUUGGGUUUUCUUUUACUUACCAUCAAAUUCAACAUCUUCCACUGCUUCUCUAAAAGUAAACGAUAGAACUGAAGCCACUCUUAGAGUUUCUUGAAUUACUCUUGAAGUUAUUGGCAUAUUUUUGGUGUCAGCCCAGGUGAGAUUGUCAUCUCCAUUUUCUUUUGAUUUCACUAUUGAUUCUUGUUCAGCCUACAUGCCCAAAACACAGAGGAGAGUCAAAUUUCUUAACUUUUUUGAAAGAAUGAAGUGGGAAUUGGUUAUGAAGUUUAGAGAUGAUUCUUACUGUUACAGCUUGAAGAAUACUUGGGUUCUCUCCUAGGUAUUUCACGAUCCAUGUUAGAACACUCGCGGUGGUGUCGCGGGCAGCGAAGAUGAGACCUAUGACGUUAUCGGCGAUUUGUUUGUCGGUGAGGCCUUCUUUUUCGCCCAUGAAAGAUCCAAGGAGGUCGUCGUACUCCCGCUUCGUUUCCCUUCUUGUCGAGAGGAUUUUGUUUAGUAUUUCUGCUAGCUCUUUCCUUGCUUUCAUGGCCUUGUGGAAGAGUGUUCCGGGGAGGUUAAUCGGCAUCGAAUUGUAGCCAUUUUCAAGAAUGUAGUAGCAUCGCUUGAGGUCUUCGAAGUAAAGAGCUUCGUCUUUUCCGAAUAUCGAAAGUAACGAAACCUCGAAUGCGAACUAAAGAAGAAUAGAAAGAAAGAUCAGCUAAACACACCAAUUACUCUAAAUGGGGAUAAGGAAAACAGAGUUUUUUUUUUUUUUUUUAAUCUAACAUAAACAGAGAUGCUCUGUUUUUAAACGUACCAUCUUCAUUUCUUGAAAGGUAUUAAUCAAUUGUCCAUCCCAUGAUUGAACGGUGUUUUUAGCAAUGGAUUCGAUACUCGGAACGAUGUUCCGAAUCGCCUCAGGCAUGAAAGUUCGAAGAACAAGACGUCUCAAUUUGGCAUGGUAAUCACCUUGAUGAAAAAAGAUAGCAUUUUUUCCCAACAUCCUCUCUUUACUAGCUGGAAAUGUAGGCUUAAAGAGAUGAGCUUUAGUCACCAAUACAAACUUAACAGCUUCAGGACUAGAAAGCAUCACACAAGGAUAACCCAAUAUAUGUGACUUAAAAAUUGGACCAUAUCUGCAAAAAAAAAAUCAAAACAACACAAAAUUCAUCAAAAACCCCCUUCAAUUUUUUUUUUUUUUUAAAAAAACCCAGAGUUGAAAAAAAAAAAAGCGACCUCUUCUUUUUGGAAGCGAAGAAGACAUUGGGAUCUUGAGAGUAGAGUUGGAGGGUCUCACCCAAAUAGGGCCAACCCAUGGAACCAGGGGGAAGGGGAAGUUUCCGGCGAGAGGGAGCAGAGAAUUUGAAAAGAUAAUGGAAGAAAAGAAGGAAGAAGAAGGCUAGGAGGGAGACGAAGACGUACAUGGUUAGAAGUAGUAGGAGUUGUUUUGAAGGAAGAAAAAAAUGGGAGAGGAAAAAUAUAAGGAGGAUGAAGAAAGAAAGUUUUAAGAAAGGGGUAUAUAUAGUGUUUUGUGGAAUGAGUUAAAAAGAAAAGGAAAGAAGGAAGGAGGAGAGAAGGGGAGGAAACAGAGAAAACAGAGGAAAGAGGUUUUCAAUACAGCUCAAGGCGCACACACACGGAAUCUCCUUCCAGCUCAUACACUUCUCUCUCUCUCUCAACUCUUUCUACUUCUAACAAUUCCCUUUCUCUCUUCUUCUUCUUCUUCUUCUUCUUCUUUUUUUUUAUUUUAUUUUAUUUUAUUUUACCAAAAGGAAUGAACUAGUCGGACGUUGAUUCGAAAAUAUGUUAAGUAGAUGGAUAGAUAGUGGUGAUAUGGGUGACAAUCUCCCAUGUCUCAGGCUUCCAGUUUCGCUUACAAACAAUAUGGAAAAAUUACAAAAACCAUCUUUAUCAACUAUAAUCUUUGUUAUAACCACACCAAUAAAAAAAAACAUCCAUUACUUCCUCUAGUUAGUUAAAUUUUAGUAUUUACCCUUGUUAGGAAAUUAUAUUAAAUUUCAUAAAUAUUAAGGUAUGAAUAGUAUAAUUAGGACGAAAAAUAUAUAGAAAAGAAAAAAAAAUAAAGAAGAAGAAGAAGAAGAGUAUAGUGUUUUAAUUAUGGGAAGAGAGAAGGAGAGAAGGAGAGAAGGAAAGGAAGUUAGAGAGCACGUGUCCGAAGGCAAAAGGGCUACAAAAAUAGCGUGUGGGGAUCCUCAAAUAUUUUAAUUUGGUUAGAUAAAGAGUGGCGCUACUGAUUAGGAGAGGUUACAAUUUGUAAUCUACAUUCAUUUUCUUAUAUAAAUUAAAUGUCCUUUGGCUCAGACAAAAGGGGACUUUGUAUUAUAAAUAUUCAACAAACUUUACUAUUUUUUAUUUUUAUUAUUACUUUUCUAUACACUCACUAAUCAUACUCUUAUUAACCUUAUUCUUCAUCACCUCUUCACCUUCUUUUCUAUUCAUUCUACACUCUCUCACCAACCUUUCAAUCCACUUUCCACUUUCAUAUAUUUUCUUUUUCAUUUAUUCUGACUAUAUUUAUAACAUAUACAUAAGUUAAAUAUGAGUAUAUAAUCCUUUUAUAUUCUACAAUACGUAUAUAUACAUAUACAGCUUAUGCAAUCUAUCUACGUGUCUUUAAUGAAUAGUUUUUUUAAUUGACAAAUCUUUUCUUUUACUUUAAAAAAGAAUCGAUGGAAUACACGCUAGUUUUAUUUAAAAAGUUUCAUAAAAUUAUAAAUAUAGACAAAAUGUUUCACAAGAAUAGGAGAGAAGGAGAUAUAGGUCAUGUGUUGGAAGUAGUCAUAUAAUUAACAUUUUUUUAAAGCAAUACUAACAAAGUCAUCUUUUGUGUGGGAUUUGUUAAUUGUUUCACAAUCUCCUCAUGAACUUUUUAAUCCUAUCAACUUCAACCGAAAAAAAAAAAAAUCUUAGAUGUGUGUGAGAGAUAGUUAGAUCAUGCAACCAAUUUUCUCUCUUUUUCUUUGAAAUUGUAUACAAUUCUUGGAUGUAAAGUAUUUUAAAAAGCAUAACUAAUUUAACAAUUCCGUUUAGAUAGAAUCAACAAAACUUCAUUUUUAUCGAAACUCUCGUUUUUAUAGAGGCGAAAAUAUAUCUUCAUACAAAAUGAAAAUAGUAUAGAUGUUGGUUAAUUGAUAUACAUCAAAUUAAAAUGUCUAAAUUUAAUGGAUAUGAUAAUGUCAACGUAUAUUUUGAAAAAUAACGAUGUACUUUUUAAAAAUUUUACUCGAUAAGUUUUAAUAAAUAAUAAUCAAUCAUCAUAUUAUGAGUAUUUGUAUAUUCGUUUAGUUGACAACUUUUUUUUAAAAAAAGAACACAAUGUAUAGUAUGUUUUUCAAAGAAAGCAAAUAUUACAACUUCAUCUCCAAGUCGUCAAACACAUCAAUUUAUUAAAUUGUUUCAACACAUCUCAAUCAUUCAAAAAAAAAAAAAAUGAAAUGAAAAGAAAAGCUCUACAGCCAUAUAAUUCCAAAAACUUAUGGGUUAAUUAUGAUGUUAAACAAACAGGCAACAACUCAAGUGUGGAAAUUAUAUAAUUUCAUCAAACCCUUAUCCAAUUAGCAUGCAUGCACAACUAACUAAUGUAGUUGACUUUUGCUUCUUCAAUAAUGGAAAUUAAUUAUGCAUAUUUGAGAGUCAAUAUAUUAAUUUAUAUUAGCCCUAAAUUUAAUUAAGAAGUAGUGUUCAUUGUCAAUUCAAUGAUUUUUCUUCAUUCAUAUUCAUGAAAAAGAGGGUUUUUUUUUUCCCACUACUAAAAUAAUAGUUUUAUUAGAGACUUCAAGUCUUUAAUAUUUUAUGUUUUCCUUUUAGAACAUCAACUUGCAAGAUUUCAUUCAAAAAACUCUUUUAUGCAUUGCUUUUGUAUUUUAAUUAAUUAUAUAUUCAUCGUUCAUCUAAUAGAUAUCCAACAAUUUCUUCGCUAUAUGUCGUUCAGAAUCAAAAGAUUUGUAGUUCAAAUUUCAGUUGACAUCAUUAUUUGUACUAACAAAACUAUGCACUUUUCGUUUGACAAACAAUAACCAAUUACUUCAGUUUUAGGGUUAGGAAAAAAAAUCCUAUACUCUUUUCCUUUUGUGUCACAUGACAAAGAAUGAAUUUCUUCACGUUUAGGAGUAGAAAUGUGAGGCUCAAAUAAUUGAAGCUAUUGAAAAUUAUUCCAAAUGAUAUAGGUACAAAUACGCUUAUCUUCUAGAUAUUAAAUACGUAAUAUGUAGAAGAACAUAUCUCGAUCGAGAUAACGACUACGGUCAUUGUAUUGUAUCUAUCUAUCACACUGACUAAUCUAUAUCUAAAUCUUUUGUAUAUCAAAGUGGAAAGAAAAGUAAAAUAAUACAGUCUUCUACAUUGUACGCGCAAUUCACUUGUAUUAUGUAAUUUACUGAUGUAUGAGCCUUUAAAUGCUCAUAAAUAAUUGAAAGGUGACGACCUAAAUUUAUUUGCCCGCAAAAUAAAUGCUAACUCCCAUCCCUUGAAAUUCAAAGGACAACUCUCUCCCUCUCACAAAUGGUGAUGAAUUUUGCCUUUGUGCAUUUAUGAAGGCUAAAAGCAAGUGUGUGUAGUAGUUGCAUCUACCUCCAUCAAGUUUGACCCAUAUGGAAAAAAUGUCAAUCUCUUUGUAUUUGGACUAAUUUAUUGCAACUCCUCUAUUUCUUUCUUUCUUUAUAUAUAUAUAUAUAUAAAUUGUGGUGUGAGGGAAAGAAAGGGUUUCCAUUAUUAUUACUAAUUAAAGAGAAAAAUUAAAGGAGUUCAUUCUCAUACCUUUGAUCUUAUUAUUUUCAUCUUUGACUUUUUUUUUUAAAUACUUUAUUUUUAUUUCUCAACGUUAAUUUCAAAUAUUAUUUCAUUUUGGUUUUUAAUGCAUUUUUUCAGUAAUUAUUUACUAAAGAAAAUUGAAGUCAAAUUGAAAUCAAGUACUGUUUAUGGUCUACAUGUGUAGUUUUAAAUAUAUUUUCACUUAAAAUCUUCAUUCAGUCAAAUAUAAAAUAUGUGCCACAUGCAAAUUUCCAACAAUAAAAUAAUCUUUUGAAAAUUUUAAAAUUAAUAGGUAGGAUUAAAAUAAUUUAUUUAAUACAAGAUUAAUUAAGGAGACAAAAUAUAAGGUGUGGAAGUAUUAAAGUAAAUAAAAUAGAAUAAAAAUAAACAGACAACAUGAGCCUUUGUUUAAGUGUAUUAUUUAGUCUACUUCCAUUUUUCUACUUAUUUUCAAAUAAUAAUAAUAAUACACCAAAAAAAUUAGGAACAAAGUUAGAUUUGAGAUUUGUUAUUUUAGGUUUCCAUGUGCAUUUUGAUCAAUUUGGUAUGUAUACUUUAAAAUGUUUCAUUGUUUUUGUUAUUUUAAACUCUCUAAAAAAAGAAAUUAUUAUAAAUGGCAAAAAUACUAAAAUUAGAUUUUAGAUUCUUUCUAAAAUUCUAUUUAAUGUUUAUUUUAAUAUUUUGAUUCAUCCUGUUGUUUUUUAAAAUAUCUCUGUAUUUAUUAUGGUAAUUGUUUUUUUUUUUUAAUUUGUGUUAAACUUAGUGAAAAGUUUCUAAGUCUAAAUUUUUUUCUAAAAAAUGUGUACUGUUGAUGGAUAUUCUAAAAAACAUAUUGAAUAUUUUUUUUCAUAAAAAAACUAGACUAAUUAUAAACAAACCUAAUCUUUGUCCUCAUUUGGACAUUUUUAAUUAAACUUUUAAAUUUUAUUUAAAAAAAACUUCAUUUUUUCGUAUAUAAAACUUAAUCCUAACUUCGAAACAUUUCUAAAAUGUAAAAGAUAAAAAUAAAAGAAUCUCGUGAAAAAAAUGUUUGUUUGUGUUUCUUUUAAUUCAACUCGAAUUUGAACUUCAUCGUUUAUUAUUAUUUUAUUUACAAUUGCAUUACAUUCUAGUGGUAAAAAAAGAUAAAGUUAUUUACAAGUAUCUGUAGACUAAUUAUAAUCAAAUUAAAGAAAAUAUUGAUGUUGGUUUCAAACUUUUAUUAUAAUUAUCUUUCACUAUCUAUCUAAUAAUAUGAAUUAAGUUGACCUUGAUUAAACUAGUUAAAUUAGUUAAUUACUUGGCCAUAUGUAUUAUGUAAUUAUUACACCAUGAUAUGAUGAUGUUUUUUGUUCUACCUACUUUUUUCUCUCUUUCAAAUUAACCUUUUGACUUUUCCUCAAUUAAAUGGAAAAAGUUAGAAAUGAUUAAUCACUAUACUAAUUUUGAAAUUUUCCUCUCUUUAAUAUUAUUUUCAUGCAUGCUUCUCUUUUUCUCCAUAUACCUAAUUUUCAAAUAUGAUACACUUAUGUUAAAUAAUUUUUAUUAAAUUAUAAAUUUAAUCUAUCAACUUUUUUUUUAUUAAAUUGUGUUUAAUAAAAUCUGACUUUCAAAAGUAUCUAAUGAUCCUUUUUAAACAACAAAAAUAAAUUUGUUAAAAUUCACAAACUAAAUUGAUGAAUUAAACCAUCACAACUCAUUUCUCUAAAUGGUACAUAUUGUCUAUUUUAGAUUAUAUAUAUAAACCCUAAUAACUUUACUUUAGUUAUUUACCCAUAACAUUAAAUACUUUCCAAAAUUAUCUAUUUAAUUAGCCAUCAAUAUUCUCAAACCCAAUUUGUAUUUAAAAAAAAAAAAAAAUUAGCAUUUGUAACUCCAAUAAUUUUAAAAUCAGUCUCUACCUAAUCUAACUUUUAUUGAAAUUGGUAAAAUAAUAACAACAACAACAAUUUUGCUUUAAUAUAAAAGACACAAUGUGAAUAUGUUAUCAAGAUGUUUCAAAAGAAUCAUAGUUCCAAAAAGUCAUCAAUAAGCUAACCAAAAAGACAAAUUCUAAAUUUAAUUAAAAGUUAAAAAAAAAAAAAAAAGAAGUAAGAAUGUAGACAUUUAUUUAAAAUUAGAAAUAAGAAAAAUGUAAUAUUUAAAAUUAAAAAGUAUUUAAGGAAAACAAAUUUUUGGUAUGAAGAAAAUGUGGGGAGAAAAGACUGAAAAGUUUGUAGGGCCCUAAAGUCAGCAGUCAUAAAUAAGAAACAGUCAAAUGAAAUAUAUAUAUAAAAAUUGAAUAAAUACAGAGUUUCUGUUAUAUUUCUCAGUCAUAAUUAGUAUAGAUUCAUAAAACAAAUAAUAAUAAUAAUAAUUUAAAAAACUUCUUUUUUUUUAAUAAAAAAGUACAGAAAUUUGUACAACAAAUAACACACCUGCAUGUUAUGUGCCAAAUCCAGAGAACCUAAGCCACUUGUCAUCAUUUUUAUAUUCUUUAUUCUCUUUCUUUUUUUCUUUUCAUAAUUUUUGUUUAUGUAUAUAUAUAUAUAUAUAUAUAUAACUUAUAAUUUGUGAUUGCAAUGGGUAUGUACAAGGGAAGGAAAUUACCCUAAAAGGCUCUACACUGCCAAUCAAUCUAACUUAUCAUUUAUUUAAUUUAUUUUCCUCUUUUCAAUUUCACUAAUCAAUUCACUACAAACCCCUCUUAAUUUCCUCUUACUUAUUUCUUUCUUGAGAAAAAACACUAUCAAUAUUAAUCUACCAGGAUACAACCAAGAUACUAUACUAAUUUACUUAUUUAACUUGAAAGCAUUUAAGAUGAUGUGCGAACUUGUGAAGGUAAAUUUAGUAUCAUAUUAUUUUACUAUUUGAGAAAAAAAAAAAAAAAACCUAUUGCAUUAAUUAAUUCUUCCAAAUGUUUUAUACCCUCUCCUCUAUCUGUAUUAAUUAAUUCAUUUAUUCAUUCAUGAAAUCAUUACUUUUUUUCUCUUCUAUCCCUCCCUAAUUUCUUCUAUAAGAUUUUAGCUAUGGUACUAAGAGUCUUUGCUCAAACCAUAAAUGGAUUGUACUAAAAAAAUCUCUUUCUAAAAUCGUUCUAAUGAAUGUUUGUGUUUGUUUUUCUUCUUCUUAUUAAUUUACUUCUUGAUGGUCAGCUGGCUAACUUCUUUUCAAUGGAUUAAGGUAGAUGUAUGUUGUCAACCUUUAAAGGUAAUAUAUUUCAAUAAAAGUGUUUUUUUUUUUUUCUAGACCACAAUAUUUUUUACAAACUAGGUUUUUAAAAUUAAAUAUUCUAUACACACUACUCUAUUAAUUGAUAUUAGUUUCUUUUACCUUUUAAUUUCAUUUUACAGCGUCAACUAUAGGAGUCUAAUGAAUUGAAGUUUGAUUUAAAUAAUACUUUCAACUUCUGUAUAUUUUCUCUAUUUCACUCGUUAUUUCAUACUUUUUAGUUAUUUGGUUCAUUUAUUGUAAAAUAUUUUCACAUGCACAGUAAAAACCUUUAAAACAAUUUUAUGGCUACAUUUUAUUGAAAUUAAAUUUAGUCAACAUAGUGUAAUAUAUACUAAAGAUUUUGAUAGAAAAAUCACGAAAUAAAAAUAAAAAUGAAAGAACAGAAUUGAUCGUUUCAUUUUUAAGAAGCUGGAGAACCUUACAAUAAUUUAUGUGGUAAAUUAAUGAAUUAAUUUAAAGAAAAUUGGGGAUGAGAAUGAAUAUUUAGUUGAUAAAAGUGAUUGGGAGAUGCAUAAAAUUAAACAUGGUGCAACAAAACGUCGAACCGACACCAUAUUGACAGAAAUUCUCCGGUGACCCAUUGUAGUUAGAGACCCAUCCAAUCAUUCUCUUCAAAAUAUUUGAAUGGAAAAAUUCAAUAUGAGACAUUUGGAAAGACAAAGAAGAAGCAUCCAAGUUUUUUUGGUUGGGUGUUGAGAGACAAAAUUAAAGCCCUUUCAUUAGACAAAAAUGAGGUCAAAUGUAACCUAACCCUCCUUACCCUAUUUUUAUUUAUAUGUGUGUAUGUGUAUAUAUAUCAUAAAUAUUGGAGUCAAGUCAGGACAAAAUGAAGAAAAAUCAAAUUCUUGAAUUUUUCUAAUCUCUUACCAAAGAAAUUUGACAUACUUUCUAAGUUUUGAAAUUUUGAAUACGAGAAUUACUUUAAAAUUAGAGCCAAUGUAUUUGAAUUUCUAGAUAGAUUGAUUUAAGACUUUGAAAGGAAGGAAAAGUAUUCAUAUAUGGUAAAUAUAGAAGAGAGAGUACAAUUUUUGUACACUAGGAAGAGUAGUGUAAUAUCCAUGUAUCACAUGUAAAAUGUUGGGCUUAUAUAAACCAUCAAAUACGAAAUAAAUAUUAAAUAUUUUCUUGAUUAAAUUUGUGAUGUAAAUUUAAAUAAUAAUUAAAAUUGAAAGUAUGACAACUAUCUAUUACCCUUUGCUUUUUGGUUUGAAAUUUUAGUUUACAAAUAUUACUUUCAUUCAAAUGUUUCUCUUUCUUUUGAUUUUAAUUUCUACAUUCAAAAGAUUUUCUCAAAUUUAAAAUCUACUGAAAAUAUAAUCUAAAAUAAGUUUGCAAAAAUAGUAAAAAUAUCAUGAAAAGUGGGAGUAGAUAUUAUUUAAAAAUCAAACUAAAUUAAAAUAAAUAAAUAUAUAUAUAUAUCUAAACAAUUGAGAAGUUUAUUGUUUUUCGUAGAGUUCAUGCAGCAUCCCAAUUUUGUCAUAUAUUAUAAACUUAGUUUUUAGCCUUAGCUUACAUGUUUAAACCUUUCUAGAUGGAUGGUUAUAUUUAAUUCAUGGCCGUAAAACGAUGUAAUAAAUAACAUUUUAAAAAAAAUUCAAUACGUAAGAUUUUCUUGAAAAACUGUAUUAGAUGAUAAAAGAAAAAAUCUACAUCACAUUCUUUUUUGUUUACCGUAGAUAUGACAAAUAAUUAAUGAUAUUAGGGUUAUUCAAUUUUUAAUUUUCUACUUUUUCAAUUUAAAAAAAUGCGCUGACAUAUUACACUCUAAUGUAAUAAAUUCUUUUUGCUAUUUUCGCAAUUAAGAUUAAAUUUGGAUAUUUAUAAUUUCUUGAUUUUAUUAUCACAUUUUAUAGUGUACACUCUAUUUCUGAUUUCCUUUGUCAAAUAUGUAAAGAGAUAUUUGAAAAUUUACUUUUUACAUUUCAGCAUGUUACAAUUUUUUAUCAAUGAUAUUUGAAUGUCGUAUCAACCUUAUUCCUAAGUUUUAAAAUUUAUUAUUUUUAAGUUCUUUAAACAAUAGUUAAUUUUAAAAAAAUUUAUAAACUUUUAAAAAUAAUAAAUUUGAUCAAAUAUUCACAACAUAUAGCAAAAUUUCAGAUUCUGUCAAUAAUAGAAAUUGAUAGACAUUAAUAUUCUUUUAUUAGUGACAUUAAUAGACAAUGAUAGAAUCCAACAUUUUGCUAUAACUUGUAAAUAUUUUAAUUUAUUUUGUUAUUUUUAAAAAUAUUUCUAAAAUUAGGAGGGUUCUGUUUUUUUCUUUAACUGUUAAUAUAAUUUUUCAGUGUAGAAGGGUUUAUAAACUUAAUUUUCAAAAUAAAAAUUAGACUAAAAUGAAACUUACAAUUUAAAAAAAUGAAUUAAAUUGUGAUCUUUGGAACUUAGGACAGACGGAAUCCAAAAUUUAGAACUAAAGUAUACUUUUUGUAAAAGAGAAAACAAUAUGAAAAGUACAUAUCCGAUAUAAUACGAACAAAGAAUUUACUAAAGUAACUUUACAUUACUUUUGUAGGUUAAGUUCAAAGACUUAAUUAAAAGUAAUUACUUUAAUUUAAUCAAUUUUGGAAGUGGGUAAAUUAAUUAAUGUUAAUAUAAUAUAUUUUAUUUUUUAAAAAAAGGAUUAAUUUGUCAAUUAACAACACAUAGCCACCAAAGAAUUAUGGCCCACAAUAUAGUUUCCACCAAAGACCCAACCGAUUAUAUACAUAUUAUUAACAAACUAUAUAUUAUUAAUAUAUACCAACUUCAAAGUACUAUUAAAAUCAAUAUAAUAUCGUAAUUGUCCUAAUUAAUUAUGUCAUCAAACUAAACUUUUUUAUGCAAAAUCCAUCAAUUUGACAAGUGGUACAACCACAAGUGGAGUUCAUAUUCUCUCAAUUUUUUCUUUAUUAUGAGACUUUAAUUUACUAAAACUUGCUCAUAUACAGCUUGAUUACCACUUUACAUAUUAAUUAAACAAAAUAAUGUAUGUGUGGACACUAACCCACUACUGAUAGUUCAGUGUUUUAAGAUUUCUAUUUAAAGUAUAAAUUUCUCUAUCUUAAACUCAAAUUAAAUAAAUAAACAAAAUCUUUACUUCCACCAACAUGUAUCACCUUUAUUUAUAUAUAUAAUUCAUUCAUUUAUGUUGAUAGGGUGAAAUAUAAUUAUUUGGGAUGACCUUGGAUGUAUACACACACCACUCUUCUUAAUUAUUAUUAUUGUUGUUAUUGUUAUUAAAUUUACUAUUAAUGUUUGAUUUCUUUUUUUCAGUCAAAUCAUUGAAUUUGAAUAAUAAAAUGAUGAUGUGAUACUUAAAAGCUAUGCAUUUGCUAUCAUCUUUAUUUUUAUUUCCAUGGAGUUUUUUAUUUGAGGAAAAUAUGAAGUAAUGUUUUGGAAUGAUAUAUAUUUUCCGGACCGACUUGAAAAUAUAAAAGUAGAUUAGAGUUUGAGCUUCUGUUUUUUUUAAGAAAGAUGUAUUAAUUACCAUAAACAAUAUUGUCCGUCUCGAUCACACGAAAAAGAAACACAUGAAGACAAUAAAGAAAAUUUGACCUAAGAAUGGACUACAUCAUUACAUCUUCGGAAAGAGUAAGUCAAACCUCGAACAUUUGACCGACUAAUAAGAUCAACUACUUUAGUGUAAAGAAUAUAAUCCUUCAACUAUACAAUGUAGGAAAAUAAGAGAUUCAAGCUUUUAAUCCUUUGAUUACUAACAUUAUAUCUUAAUCGAAUAUCACUGUAACGAUUACUGUCAUGGGAUUGUUAACCUUAAUUCAACACAAGGGAUAAAAAAAACGAGAUGAUGCAAAGAAAGUUGAGAUAGGAGAAUUGAAGGAGACAGUGAAUGGAAUAUAAUAGAAUGGUGUUUUUCUUUUCUCUUCUUCUUCUUCUUCUUUUUUUUUUGGGGGGGUUGAAAAAGAAAAUAAUGAAUAAAUAAAUAAAUAAGGAAGAGAUGGCAUAAGAAAACAAAACCUUAGUUGGAUAGAGAAAGUCAAAUAAUUGGGACAAAAUUAGUGAUGAAUUGGAUUUGCUUGGGGAAAGCUGUUUUUUUCUUUAAUUUUGUUGUGUGGUUUUUGGAAGAUGGAGAAAUCUAGUUUGGGUUCCAGCUAUCAUUUUGCUUUUUUUCAUACCUUUUUUAGUGAAAGGAGAAAGGGAUAGAGAUCUUCCACUUGCAAUAAUUUUAAUAACAUAUCCAACCUUCUUUCCCCCCCUUUGCUUAUAUGGAUUCUUACAUCUUCAAUUCCUUUUUAAAUCAUAUAUAUCCUUAACUUCCUAUCACCUUUCUUUAAUAAAGAAAAAAAAAACCCAUAACCUUUAUAUUUGCAUCAUCUUAUACAAAACUCAACUAAUCUUAUACAACAAUACUUAUUCUUUCAAACUCUUCAUUUUUGUAUAACUCAGUUGAGUUUGUUUUACUAACUUUUUAGAGAAAGGGAAGUCCUCUCUCGAUCUAGGCUUUUUGUGUUAAUUUUUUCAUGAUUUAUUUAAAUAUCAAUGAAGGAUACUAAUUAAAAUUUGUGUCAACCUAGUUUGGUUAAAUCAGUGCACUUACUGAAUGACAUGCGCUACAUAUAUUUAUUUAGGAAAAAAACCCGAAUAGAUUGAUGAAUAUAUAACCAAACCUUUGACUUUUAGAGAAAAGAGUUGUACAAAAUAUCCUUGACCUAAAUUUACUUUGAUCCUUGAAUUCUUUAUUAAACCCAUAAUCUUCUUUUGAUUGUGAAACGUCCACGAUAAUUCGAUUAGUGAUAACUCCAUGGAAUAUUUUUGAGGUCCCACCUUUAUUAAUAUCAAUACAUUCACGUUUUUGGAUGGAGGAAGAUUUCAUCAUAUCAUAGAUGUAGAACCACAAAUGGUUUUUUGGAUUCAACCAUUUUUGUUUUUAUAAUUAAUUGUAAAGAUAUAUCGUGUAAAUUGUUGAAUAAAAUGAUUUGAAAAUGACAAUCACAAAGAUUUUGAAUUCGGUAUAUCCUUCUUUCUUCCUACGUUACUUUAAAUCUAUCACUUUGUAAUUUUCUUUCUUUCUUUCUUUUUUUAAAAAAAGGGCCAAUAAUGUUUUAUCUACCACAACUAAUUCUAUCCUCCCAAUAAUAAAUUUAUCACUAUCGUUAUUGUAGAUUUUUCUAACAAAGUGUAUAUAUAUAAAAUGAUAGUGAAUAAUUCCAAACAUUAUUCUUAUUUCAAGGGAUGGACUACAGAAAGAGUGGAUUUGGCACUUUCAUAAGUGUGGGAGAGAGCUUGGGUUGUGUAGAGAUUUAAAACAAAAUGGUUCAUGUCCCUGACUUUAUCAGAUUCGAUUUCGAGGGAAGAAGUUAGGGUCAUGUUAAGUGGAAAACCAAACAUUCGACUUCGGGGGAAGAAGUUAGGGUCAUGUUAAUUAUUACUGAACUUAAACUCAUUUUGAAAAAAUUACUUUGAGAUUUUACGUACAUGAUUUUUUUAUGCAAUGAACGAACAUCCUCAUUAAUCAAUACUACUUGGACUCUUUUUGUUAUAUGAAUAAAAUCACUAAAAUAAGAGAAAAUACAUAACUUAGUGUAUAUGAAAGAAUUUGAGACGGGUGACUUCACGAUGUCUCUUCUCUUAGUUUUAAGAAAAUUUUUACUCACUUUAAUGUUUAAGUUUAAUUUAAUGAGUAAUUAUUUUUUUUUAUGAUGUCUCUUAUCUUAGUUUUAAGAAAAAAUUUACUCACUAUAAUGUUCAAGAUUAAUUUAAUGAGUAAUUAUUUUGUUUAUGAUGUCUCUUCUCUUAGCUUUAAGAAAAAUUGUACUCACUUUAAUGUUUAAGUUUAAUUUAACGGGUGAUUAUUUUUUUAUGAUGUCUUCCCAAAUUUUAAUAGCAUAAAUUAGGAUAUGAAGAGGAUAGUAUUUAGAACAAGUGAAGAUUAUUAAUUAAAUAAAAAAAUUUACAAUACUUGUACACAAAAAUUGCAAAACAGUUUCUUCUCUUGUUCUAUUUCUUGGAAAAUUUGAACUCUCAUUUUCUAAUAAAAUGUUUGUUUGAAAUAUUAAUCAAGUUUAGUAAAAAUAAUUGAGUUUAAUGGUAUAUUUUUAGAAGCAAGUUUUUUUAAUAAUAAAAAAGUGAGAAAAUUGGGAAUUUUUUUAAAUAAUAAUAUAAAAAAUAUAGUAGAAGAGAGAGUAUUGACAAUAAUAAGGGUAGAGAAGUUGUGAACGAGUUUCAUGACUUGUUUGCCUACUAAACUAAAGUCUUGGACGGAGUUCACUUCUUUUUUCUUUUUCUUUUUUUUAUAUAUAUAUAUAUUAAAUAUCUCACUUAAAUUCUAAUUCUAAAAUAUUUUUUUUAUUAAACUUUUUCAUUCAAUUUUUUCUUUAUUUAUGUAUAUAUUAGGGGUCUUUUAAAAAAUAUAACGGUAAAGUAUGUAUGCCAUAUUGAAUAAUUUCGAAAACUAAAAAAUGCCACAGACUCACAAUGGAAAAUUUAAAAAAUGUCCUGAUUAAUUGGGAUCAAGCGCAAUUAAUUUGAAAAACAAUAAUUUAAUAUUUGAAAAAUGAUCAUUUAGGGCUAUCCAAUAUUCUAACGAUUUUUUUAUACGAUUUUUCAUAUUUGUCACACGAUCUAAACAACCAAAUAACCAUUUGAAUUUUUUUUAUAUAUAUAUUUGGUACACGGAACCAAAUAACAAUUUAAAAUUUAUUUUUAAAAAUUACAGAAAAAGAAUAGAAGAAAGGACGACCAAAAGAACUACAGACCUAAAAUAUUUUUAAAAAAUGGUUAACUUAAGGAACCUUUUCAUUUUGUUAUAGCGAACGUAAAUAUUACGUCAGUUUGUUAUAUUUAUAAAAGUUAACAUAAUAUCUCAGUCUCAAAUUUUUAAAUUUCUUAUUAAAUUCACAUUUUCAAAUUUAUUUUGAUUAUUUCCUUAUUAACCACCUAUUUAUUCUUUUUUUUCUUUAUAUAUAUAUAUUUAUUAAAUAUCUCAAUUUCCAAUUUUACAUUAUUGUUCUCAAUUUCCAAUUUUACAUUAUUGUUUCCUUAUUAACAAAAUUUUUUGUUCUUUUUUUCUUUAUAUAUAUAUAUAUAUCUCAAUUUUCAAUCAAAAAUAUAUGUUUCCUUACUAAAUUGAGACCACGAACAAUUUUAAUUUAAUUAUUUCUAUAUUAACAUUUAAUUUCCAAUUUCAAUUGUUCGACCUUCAAAUUUUUUCAUGAAUAGAAUCUUUUUUAAGGAAGUGAUACACAACUUCCAUUACGUAGGUUUAACUGGUCAAAUUAUGGGUGACGUGGAUUACUAGAAGUCGUGUACUUCAAAAACACAAAAGUACUCUAUUUUUUUUCAUAGUUUCUUGUUAUACUCCAUUUCUAAAAUUUCUUUUCAUACUAUCCUAUUUUUGUUAUUAUUUAAAAGAACAUUUUUUUUUAAAAUACUAUGAGAAAAUAUGUAAAUUUCAAUCAAACAGUAGAGAGUGAAGAAAAGAGAGAUUAGAAAAUGACAAGUUGGGAAUUAUCCAAAACAAUUUGAACAGGAAAGAACAAUUAAAGUUAUUAUUAUUAUUAUUUUAAAGAGGGCUUUUAAAAACUAUUUAGAUUAAAAAUAAAAAUAAAUGAGAAACCAAUAAAUGAAUCCCAAAGUGCAUUGGAACAAGUUGCAUCUUUGACUAAAAGAAUCAACACACUACAACUCUACAACAUUUUAUUAUGUUUAUUAUUACUCUUAUUUUUAUUAUUAAUAAUUUAUAUUUAAAUUUAAACUAUUGUUUCAUUUAAUAUUUAAUUCAUAUUAACUCUUCAACUUAAACCAUUUUACUUUCUGAUGUUUGUUUUACUCGCUUGAAUUAAGUAAAUGGAUCAAUAAAAAUAGAUGAUAAAAUAUAAUAGUGAUUCAAAUAACCACUUUUAAAAUAUAUAAAAUAAAAUAGACAUUUAAAAUAAUAUUAACUAAAAUGAACCCAAAAAAAUUUAAAAUUUUAAAAAGAACAAAACUAGGUAAUAUGGAAUUUUCAAAUAUGUUUUAGUUAAGAGUUCUUUUAAAAAAAUUGGAAGUAACAAUUUAGACUUAAUAAUUUUAUUUGUAUUUAUAAGAAUCCAUCUCCCUUUUAUUGUGCGAGAAUUCAAUGAAUAUAUAUUAACUAAUUUAUUCAUGUGUAUAUUCUAUAUACCAUAUAAUGAGUAAAUUUGUGUAACUAAACAAAAAAAAAGUAGUAACAAGAAUCAAAAUAUUCAAUAACACUUUACAUUUAAAAUUUGAAAUCAAAUACUUAAUGGUUUCUAUAUUCUUUUUGUAUCCUAGUUAUUGGGUACUUUUAACAUAAAAUUACUCUAAGCUAAGCGUAUAUAAUUUUGAAAUUACUAGUAAUUUUAAAAAAUAUAAAGUUUCAAUUAUAUGUAUUAUAUAUCAUCUCUUAAUCUUCCAUUCAUAGUCGUUAUUUAAGUUAUUAACCUAUUCAAUAUUUUAAAAAAUCGACAAAUCUUCUAAGAGAAACAACUAAAGAAAACUUAAAAGAUCAGUAGCCAUAAAAUUUUAAAAUUAAAUAUCCAAAUAGAGAGGUUGAUCUUAAAAGAAAAAAGAAACGUGCAUGUGAAUACAAAAUUUUGAAACUUGGAUACACAUAUAGAAAAACUUUUUAAGUUCAAGACUUACUGUAAUAGGAAUGGAAAGUUUUCAAAGACAAAUAAUUGGAUGAGAUACACAAGAAUAGUAAGUACUACCAGACAAAGCACCUAUAUGUAUAUAUAUAUUUAUAUAUGUAUGUAUAUUCAUAUAUAUAUAUAUAUAUAUAGAUAUUAGUCUAUGGGCAAUACCAGAGAAGCCCCAGUUUGUGGAAAACCACUUUUUAGACUGUUUGACAGAAAACCAGGGGGAGGAGAAGGAAAAGUCUACUUUUUAUUAUUAUGAAUGUGAUUUAUUAUGAUUGUGAUUAUUAUUUUAUAUCAUACUUAUAUUAUAUUAUUAUUUUGGGCAAUUUAAGUUAUGAGGGGUCAGGUUGGAAUCAGAUAAGUUUAGCAACUUGAGGUUGAGGCAGCUUCCAAUAAUAAUAAUAAUAAUAAUAAUAAUUCCCAUCCCCCACCAUAUCUCUCACAAUUCCCUUCCCCUUUUUUAUAUUUAUUUUUCCUCAUCAAUGCAUUUAAUUUCUUUACAUUUUUCUAAUCAAAACCCUUUUUUUUUCUUUUUUUUUUUUAGUUUACAAAGUUUGUGUCAUAUCAAAAACAUUGUUAAAAUUAUUUGAUUUGAUGUGACCUUGUGGUAAAUUCAGAGAACAUUAUACAAUAAUUCAAUUACUUGUUUAUUAUUGCAUAAAAAUCAAUCCCAUUUUAUUAUUUUCUAUAUGGUAUACAUAAAGCUGAUCUUUUUGUAUGGGAAUAGGACAAAUUUUUUAGCUGAAGAAAAAGAGUACUGUAUACAUUAGAAAAAGACAAAUAAAAUAUCUUGUAACCCCACAAUAUUAUGAAAUAUAAUUUGGUGUUUUCCCACCUUCUAGGGUGGCAACCACUUCAAUAUGAGCAACCCCUUCAUGAUUGGAAAAUCUCAUGUAACUAUGUGUGUAUGUGUAUGUAUCUAAUAUGUAUACCUAUGGAUUUUCUUUUUCUUUUUCCUUUUUCCUUUUUUAGUGGGUUUUUUAUAUUAUAAUCUUUCAUUUGCGUAAUUACUUUUUGCAUUAGUCAUUUUCUGACUUUUUGGGAUUGAGCCCAUAUGUCUCUCCUUUAUAACAUAAUAAUUUUAGAAUACAUCAAUUGAAUAAUUGCUUCAUUUUUGUAUAUAAAACAAAUCGGCUUGAUGGCAAAAUGUUAACAAACAGGUGAAUCUAUAAGGACGUGACAAUUCAUUUUUACAUUUUAAUGUUUACUUUUACAUUGUUAGUUUAUUAUUAUUUACUAUUAACUUACUUUUUACUCUAAAUAAUAAAAUACUUAAAAUAUUUAUUAAAUAAUUUACAUGAUUCUAGACUCUAUUCAUCUAUCAAUUCUAUCCAUAUGAAGGAUUGAUGUUAAUAAAUCUAAAAUUUUGUUAUGUUUAUAAAUAUGUUGGUGCAUUUUUGCCAUAUUUGAAAAUGUUUGUUUUCUUUAUUAUAUGUAAUAGAUUUUUCGUAUUUAUUUGAUUAUCAUCCUUUUAUUUUUGUUAAGUAUGUUGAAUAAAUCUUAAUAUUAGUCUUUAGUUUCUUAUUUGUUUUUUCAAGCAAUUUUGUCUCUUUAAACAUGCUUUUCCUUCUUAUAAACUAUGAUAAUAUAUAUAAUAAGAAUUUAGUAGAUUAAUUAGAUUUUUCAUAAAUAAUAAAAAAAAAUUGUAAGCUCAAUACUUUUAUACAAAGUCUACAUAAAAUUAUAUAUAUAAAAAAACAAACCCAUGAUUUUGACGAUUUCUUACAUAGAAACUAAAUAGUUGUUAGAAUUAAAUUGUUAUAAAACUUAAAGUUCAAAAAUAAAAUGAUUAUAAAUUAAAGUUUAAAGAUAAAAUUGUCAAAUUUUCUUUUUAUAAAUAUUAAGGAGGAAAAUAGAUUUUUCUUAAAAAGAAAAAAUCUAAAAAGUAAAAAGGGUAGAAGCAAUUCUCUUAAUUGAACUCUUGGAUAUGAAACUAUAAGUAGUUUUGAAGCCACCCUUAAAAUAGUUGAAUAUUAGAUUUAAAUAUGUGGGGACAAAAGACCACUAAUUUCUUUGAAAUUAAAAAGGGGCCGAUAAGAAUAGGCUUUGAAAUUCAAACUAUUUAUUAAUGAGUUCUUUUUCUAAGUUUGGUAGAAAUUAAUACUAAGCUCAUGAAGCAUCUUUUUUGACCAACGAAAAAUCAAAUCAACAAUUCUUCUAAUAAAUUAAUCAAUUUGUACAAAUUUGAUCAAGGUUUUUCUGUUGUUCAAUUUUAGGUGACAAAAUUCAUACGUAAUUAAUUUGUAUGGUGCGAUUAGACCUUAUCCUUUUAAGGUCAAUAAUAUCGACAUCCAAAACCUUUUUAUAAGUAUGCAAAUUUUUAAAAUUUCAACUAAUUAAAUAAAUAUGUUUAUAAUUUGCGUUGAUCAAAUUAGCACGCAUAUUUUUAAAAUUUGUUAUUUUUCUUAUAAAUUUAUUUGGGACGUUUAUGAAAUAUUUAGAUAAACAAGUGCAAGUUAUAUAUAUAAUACAAAUAUUUAUACUCUAGUGUUUCACUUUAAACACAAACUUCUAUUUGUUAAUUGUAACUAAUAAUUCUCAUAUUUCACAUUGUUUUUAAAGUUAUAGUUAUGUUCUCUUAAUUAGGAUAAUUCUCAUAUUUCACAUUGUUUUUAAAAGCUAUGUUCUCUUAAUUAGGUAGACAUUUAGAUGACAAAUGAAUCAAGUUGACAUAUUAAUAUUAUUUUUUAAAAUUUUAUAAUAUUGACCCUUUCAUAUUUCAACGCUAAAAGUUAUCAUUUUUCUUUCUAAAAAAAUCAAUCACAAUUAAUAAAAGGUUGAAGAUCAACACUCAAUUAUUAUACAUAUACACAUAAAAUAGGAUUAAUUUGAAACAAUUUAGAAUCUAUCCUAAGUUGAUUUGAUCGUAUAUUAAACUUUAAAGAAAAAAAAAUUGAUGGUUGAGAUGAAAAGGUUAGUAUUUAUUUAUUAUAGGCAUGAAGAGUCAAGAUCCCCCAAAUGUUGAUUAAAGAAAUAAUUAACAAUUAAGAAAUCAAAGUGAUAUUUUGAUUUAAAAAAGAAAAAUAAAGAAUAAAAAAAGUCAUGGUAUGUUAAUUAAUACACGUGGUCCAACCAAAAACACGUUGGGUGGGGCUUACUAAAACUACGAAAGGGUGUGGCGACCCAUGCAUUCUGGGACACGUGUUUCAAUAUGAUUUGAAGUACACAUGCAGGUACAUCUUGUGUACGUACGUCAGUCUAAUUAUUGAGACAGAUUCAAUUUAUAUAAUUUAAAUUAACAAAAUAAAUAAUUCAUUCAUCAUUUUCUUUUUUUAUAAAUUAAAAUCAACUUUUACCCUUCCUAUUCCCAAAGAAAUAUAAAUGGGUUAAACUCUAUUAACCUUUUUUUUUUUAAUAGUUCAGAUAUUAUUUCCAAUAAAUUAAAAUUUUCUAUCAACUUUAGGCUGCACUUUUAUAUUUCUACUGUUUAUGUCAGCAUAUUCUUAUAAUCUUUGUAUUCAUUUCAUAUUCUUAUAUACAUGGGUCGUUUAUGUAUGUUAUUAUUAUUAAUAAUGAAAGAUUAGUUUGACUAAACUAAAAUUUAAGGAGGUUAGUAAUAGAAAAUUGUUAGGGUUGGAAAAGUAUAUAUUAGACAUAAUAAUGCUCGAGGUUUGAAUGAAAUGUAUAUACUCAUAAAAAUAUAUUGAUUAGAUUAGAAAAAGAAAUGUGAGUGAGAUGAGAUAAUGGAUUACAGCAGGGAGAGUGUGUGACAAUGAACGAAGAUUUUGGAGUCACGUGAAAUAAAGUAUUAAUUAAUUACUUUCAAUCAAUUAAUUAAUACUAAUAAUUGAGAUAUAAAGUAAAACAGGCAGAGCCAGUUGGUAUUGUAUUCCUUCCAUUUUCAUUCUCUCCUUCAUUUCUAUAUAUACAAAAUCAAUUUGUUUUAUUCAAAGUAUUAGUUUUGUAUCGAUGUGUCAACACUUUCUUUUAUAUAUGAGUUCAACAUUGACAUAAAAAUGAAAUCGGUAUUUUUAUUAUGUUGUAAAGAAUUCAUGAAACAUGGAAUAAUAAAUUGUUAAUCAAACACAUAAUACACUUACAAUUUAUUUAAGAAGCAUGUUAGACUUCUUUCUAACUACAUUUUUCUUUUGUAAAAUUGAAUAUUACGGGUUUUCUAAUAUAACAAAAAAAAAAAAAAUCAAUUUGUCAUUUUAAAUUUUACUGUAUUUAUAAAUAUAUAGGUGAUAUUGUUGAAAGAAUUUUAUUUUCAUUUAGAUUUGGAAAAGUCAAGUUGAUAUAGAAAACUCUUCAUCAAUUGUACUCUUUGUCAAGAAAGAAAAAAGGAACAAAUAUUAUGAGCUGUCGAAGGAAAGAUAUUUACCAAAUUGAAGAUGAGAUAAUUUUUCACGUCUUUAUUGGUUUUUUUCUGAGAUUUGAAAAUGUAAUAUUUGUUUGAGUGUUAAUUGACUUUACAGUAUUGGUUUCCUUAAUUAGAAAUGUGUAUGUGACAUUUCUUCCAAUUGAAUUCUUACAUAUACAUCACUUAUAAACAAUAGCUACCAUUUUAGAUUAGAUUAUUAGUUUCAUUUAAGUUUAAUUGUUAUCUUUUUCUUUUAUCAUCAUUAUUGUUAUUAUUAUUUCAUUUUGUUUUCAACAUUCUCUUGAACAAACAUUAGAAUAAUUGAACAAACAUUAGAAUAAUUACAAUGGAUAGUAAUAUUAUUAGAGAUAAUAAUAUAUAAGAGUAUAUAGCAACAUUUUUUAAAAAAUUGUAUAGAUAUAUAUGCUAUAUUUUAAAAGAUUACUAUCUAUGCUAGUAUUGUAUCCAAUGCUAAAUAACUUUUUAAAUAAAUAUUUACAAAACUUCAAAAAUUAAUUUAAUUCAUUUAACAAGUGAAUGGUCUUUUUUUUCAUGAAUACACAUUUUAAAUAUCAUUUUUGAUUUUGUAGUUUGAGCUUUCGUUAAUUUUAGUUCAUGUAUUCUCAAUAAAGAUAUUUAAAUUUAGUAUAUCAAAAUUGAUUAAUUAACAACAACAACAACGUUCAUAUAAACACAUAAGAGACAAUAUUGUUACCAAUUUUACAGCAAAAAUACCAAUGAGCAACAACUUUUUUCUUAAAAAGGAAUUCAGCAAGAAACUAUAAAGUAAAUUUAAGAUUGAUUAAGAGUACACCUACUAAAAAAUUAAAUCCUUCAAGUACAUCUUAAAAGUGAUAGAGUAAGUUAAUUAAAAACAAAUUUUUGACAAAUCAUAAAAUUUCCUAGGAAAACUCUAAAAGCUAAAAAGGUUGUGGACUUUGAAAUUGAAGAAGAAAAUAAAGUAAAAAAAAGAAAAAAGUAUAUAAUUAAACCCAUGAGCCACGUUUCAUUUCUAUAAUUUAGUUGAAUAUUAGCAAAUUAAAAAUGGCAUAAAACUUAUGGGGUUGUAUGUGUAAUUAAUGAUUUUAAAAAUGGUUUAAUUUACUUGAAAAAAACAUCUCGAGUGAGUGAAUAAGUCAACUUUGACAAUAAGCAAUCCAAAGAUGACCAAAUUCUAAUUAAUUAGUUAAACUAUAUAUUGAACUUCCCAAGGUGUUUGCUUCUGUGAAUAAAUUAUGCUUAUAUAUUAGCCAAUUAAAACCAUAGCAAAUAGCUUUUUUUGUAUUGUAUUGUCCAAAUAUAUAUAUAUAUAUGUAUGGAAAAAUUAAUGUACUAAAGUUUUGGAUCGGGUGCAAUGCUACAUGUCCUACUCACUUUUUUAAAAAAUUAUUGAAUUGAUUAAAAAAAAAAUUAUAUAGUUGACUUUUUAUAAACUCAAGAAGUAUUUGAAGGGUUAGUGAUCUUAUGUAAACUAGGGUUAUAUUCAACUUAGCUAACUAAGGUGUCAAUCUUCGAUUACGAUAUUGAUGAUUUGAAUAUCUCAUUUUGACAUAUUAUUAAAUUUGUGGGGAAAAAAAAUAUACUUAUAUAUUUAGUACAUAAAAUAUAUGUUUAUCUCAUGCUACACAAAAAAAAUUAAAAUUAUGUAAUACUAAUGGUUAAAUUUUUUAAAUGUGAUUACUAAAUUUAAUUUGGUUAAAGAAUUAUAUAUAUAUAUAGUUGUUUUUGAGUUUAUUGUUGUUGUGAAUCUUCAUCCUCAAGUUAUUGUUAAAUUUCUUAUUUCUAUUUUUUUAAUCUUAAAUAUUAACUUAUAAAUUAGAAAAUUUAAGACUCGUUUAAUAAAUACUUCCGAUUUGAUUCUUAGUAAUUCCGUUGUUAAACAUUAAAAUAGUUUAAGUUGUAUUGUCAAUUACUUUGCAUAUUAUCCUUUCAAUUUAGGUGUCAUGAGUUCAAUUUUAUUAUUAAAGUUAUAUAUAUGUUUGUAUUUUUAAAAAGGUAUAUUAUUGGGUGAAAUUUAUUGUAAAAUUGACAAGAAAAUUAUAAAAAUAGAGUUGACUUGAAUUUAAAAAUGGAUUUAUAUUAUAUGUAUAAUGUGAAAUUUUGAGGAGAGGUAUCAAUCCGAUGUAGCAAAAAGCUGAGAAUUAACUUAAUGCAUGAAUGAUAGUGAAUAUAAUCAUCAUUUGACAUUUUCUUUUCUCUUUUUAAUAAAUCAUUUGACAUUUUUUUUGUCUUCACCAAAAACUUUGACGAACUUUAUUAAUUAUAAAAUUAAUGAAAAUCAAAAUUCAACUCAUUAACUUGCAAGCUUUAUUUGAUUAAAUUACACGCCAUUAAUCUAUUAUAUAUUUAAAUAUGUUUGUAUGUAUAUGUGUAUAUCCAAUCCAAUUCCUGGAUAGAUCCAAACAAACUUAAUUCAAAUUUGUGAGGAUUGAGUUGAAUUACAAAACAAUUACAAAAGUCACUAUAUUUAUUUUAGUUCUUGAUUUUUCAAGUUUUUAUAUGUAUAGAAAUUAUCAAAAUCAAUAUUUUCAAAGUACACUGUGUAAAUAAAAUAAAGUAUAUAAUCGUAUUUUGCUUUCGUUUAGGUCAACAAUUAAUUUUGUUAUCAAAUGUUAUAGUGUUUAUCAAAUGAGAUUAUACUUAAAUUGAAAUAUUAAUCAAAUUAUCUAUUGAUUAACGACACGUUACUUUCUAGUUUAUUUGGUGUCAAUACAUUUUUAAUUACUUAAUGUUUACAAUACGAGUUAAAAUUAAUUUUAGACUGAAAUUGGAAAAUAAUUUAUUCUCGAAUAAGCUUGAGUUAUAUCAAUCCAACUAUAUAUGUUUUUAGUGAAGGUGAGUUUAGCUUGAUUUAAUCCACUGUUCUCGUAAUUUCUUUUUAUAGAAAAUAUGCCAUAUACUUCUAACUUUCAUUUAACUUUGUUUAAUCCGUAAUUACCCCUAUAGGCCCAAGCCCAACGCUCUUAUCCAAAAGACCAAAGGCCCAAUACUUUUCAACUCACACCCUUAAGUUUCAACCCACUUUUCAUAUCCAAAAAAAAAAAAAGAAAAAAGAAAGAGAAAAAAAUCACUCACUUUAGACCUAUUUUACACAAAGUAUCUAAAAACUUUUCGAAAAUUUUAAAAAAUAGUAGAUUUUACAAAAUAUUUACAACAUAUAGCAAAUCCUAUCGGUGAUAGUCAUAUAUGCUAUAGUGAUAUAGUGAUAGAACACUAUCGGAAUAAAAUCUAAAAUUUUAGCUUGUAAAUAUUUUAAUUUAUUAUUUUAUUUUUAAAAAUAUCCCAAAACUUUGUUUAUUUAUUAGUUAAGAUUUGGUCGAACCAUUUUAUGUUUGUAACAAUUAUAAAUACAAUUUAUUUUUUGAAAAUUCAUAUAAUAGAAUACCAUAGUUAUAUUAUAUCACAUUUAGCAUCUUUCAUAAUUAAUAUAAUAAAUAAUUCAGAUUUAUAUUUGAUUUAAUAUUAGGAUAUGAUACUUCAUUUUAAUAUGACAUCAAGUUGGAUCUAAUAUGGUAAUAAUAUAUUAAUUAAUUUCUACAUUCUUUCACCUUACCGACGUCUAUUAAAACAUUUAUAAAAAAAUUGGCAACACUAGAUUCAACUUGUAAUGAGACCGCUAUUUAGUCCGACGUCUAUUAGGACAUUUAUGAAAAUUUGGGAAUGCUAGGUGAGACACCCCUAGUUAGGUUAUAGUAGUUAAAAUCCAAAAAAUAAUUAUAUAAAAAAAUUAAAAUAAAGAUCUUCAAAGUAUAGCAAACUCUAUCGUCGUUAAACCAAUAUUUGUAUUAAUAGUCUAUCAAUGAUAGACUCAUAUUGUAGAGUACUAGAGUGAGCAUGGUCAAGUUUUUGAAAAAUGCAUACAAAAUAAAGACCAAUUUAUAUAAUCAUUCUACAUGGAUAAAAAAAUGUUAAUUUAAAGAAAUUGAUAAAUUGUUAUAAGUUACCCUCUGAUAGGCACCGUGUGGAAAUUCAAAAGGGAAAAUUGUUAGGGAAGCAGUAAUGGCAUAUUGGGUCGAAGCUUUGGAGCGUUAAACUCAAAACAAAAAAAAACACAAAAUUGAUAUUAGCAUUGCUUCCUAUAAUUUAAGCAAUGAAAAAACAAAUAAUACAUCUUCAUCAUUUUAAAUUAUAGGUUAAACCAAAAGAAUUUACAAUAGGAAGAAAAAUAAGGUGAAAACUGGAAAGAUGGAUCCAGAUUAUUGACGUCCAAAGAGUAAAAGAGUACACAAACCAUUAGAAAGGUGGUCGAGACAAUAAGAGUAGAUACGAAAUCCAGAGUCUUAAAAGACAUUAUAGAAAUUAGAGAAGAAGAUGGUAACGCCGCUCGCUAUCUGCACCGACACCAUUCUUGAAAUCGACCGACGAAGAAGAAGGCUCGGUGAAAAGAGAUGGCUGGAAAAUUACUUCCACUUCUUGAAUUUUCCUCCGCCAAACAUCCCGUGUUUCCCAUGUUUGUGUUUCCCAAACUUUCCGUGCUUGAACUUCCCAUGGUGCUUGAAUUUUCCACCGUGACCGUGACCAUGACCAUAAUGAGCAACACCAUGGGGGUA